rnacentral:lncRNA from 1 species
UAUUUCUAUGAGAAAAUCUUGGGGAAGAUGAUCGAUGACCCCACUUUCGCUCUUCCGUUUUGGAACUGGGACCAUCCCGCCGGCAUGAGAAUCCCUCCCAUUUUCACAGACAAAAGUUCGCUUCUCUACGACGAACACAGGAAUAACGAUCAUGUAUAUGCUUUAAUCGACCUAAACUACGAUAAGGACUCUGAUAAGGACUCUGUGCAACCUCUUCAAAACACUAGAUGGCCGCCAGUGGAGAAAAAGAAGAGCUUGAUCCUAACCAACUUGAACAGAGUUUAUAGGGCAGUUGCAAGCGAAGAGUGCUCUCUCCCAUAUACCUUCCUCGGGCCAGCAUUCGAAGUUGGUUGUGCACCUCAGAAAAACUAUGGAACUCUGGAAUCUUUGCACAAUACAGUCCACAGCUGGACCGGUGAAUUAGAAAAACCUAACCACGACAUGGGGUUGUUGGCUACGGCUGCAAGAGAUCCCAUUUUCUUUGCUCACCAAACGUCGAUAGGAUGUGGAACAUAUGGAAGACAGAAUUGCUGGAUGGAAGAAGAUUUGAUCACAAAAGUGACGACUGGUUGGAAUCCAGUUUCUUCUUCUACGACGAGAACAGGAACUAUGUGCGUGUGAAGGUCAAAGACUGCCUCGACUCCAAGAAGAUGGGGUAUGAUUACCAAUAUGUUUACCUUCUAUGGCGGGUCACUAGGGGGGAUCUCAUCAAACCAAAGAAGGAGAGUAGUCUCCUUCGUUCAAAACGAGAAGCUUCAACAUUCAAGAAAUUACAGCUCCCUCACACUCUGGAAUCCAUUGAGCGUACAACCGUGAAGAGGCCGAAGCCGCGAUCCAGGAACGAGAAUGAAGAAGAAGAAGAAGAAGGCGUAAAAGAGGUGUUAGUGAUAGAUGUUGAAUACGAUAGCACUGAUGGUGUGAGGUUUGAUGUGUUCAUCAACGACCAAGGCGACAAUGAGAUUAGACCCCUGGAUUCAGAGUUUGCGGGAAGCUUUGUGACUUUGCCUCACUCGCCGCAUGUCAACCAUAACAACAUCACCUGAGCUUCUUUCAAAUUGCCAUUAACGUAUCAGUUGAAAGACUUGGGAGUAACAAAAGACGAUGACAGUAUUUCUGUCACACUGGCUCCCAUAUAUGGGGACAAGCCUGUUGCAAUUAAGGGUGUAAGGAUAAAGCGUGUUUAUCCUGAGGUGGACGAUGAAUAAAUCUAAAUUAUGUGUGUGCUACUGCUAGGGUUUGUUCCUCUAGGGAUACUUUAUCUGUCAUUUGUUGUUUCUUAAUUAGUGUGUUGUAUUAAUAGAUCCCUUUCAUCUUUGAGGAAUACUAUGUUAUUGUUAUAAUAAAUGUUUGUUAAAUUGUCUGUUUUAUUGUUACAUUUGUUUAUAAUACAAUAUAACUCCUAAUCUCCUUUUAAUUAAUAUAUAUUAAUGGAAAAGAAUGAAUGAAAAGAAUAGUUUAACUAUUAGUUAACCAAACUACGAAGAAAGAUAACUUGGUUCGAAGAAAUGCUUUGCCACCCAUGUUAGUGAAUAUGUUCACUUCUAUUGAUGAUUCUACAACUAUACAUACACUUGUAUGUUCACUGCAGUUUUGCCUCUAGCUAGGUCGUGGUAUCAUACUUUUAGCUAUAUUGGUAUGUUAUGCCAAUUCCUCAGUAUUUAUACCCGUAUUUUUUCCAAUUCUUGUUUUAUAGCUCAGGUUUAAAUAAGAAAAGGAGAGUUUGCUUUCUUGAUUUGGUUGUGAGUGUGUAGUUUACUUGGAGGUAUUGAUGGUUAUUAAAUAUUUCUGGUUCAUAUCAUAAAUACUAACUAAUUAACCAUCACAAGCUGGCGAUGAUAGGAGGUUGUACAAAAUCUACCAGUUUUUUUUUGUACUAUACGGUAUUUCUUAUGCCCAUCAUAUGUUUAUAAAGUAUUUGUUUUGCUGAAAAAAAAGCGUAUGCAAUUGAUAAUAUUAAUUUCUUAACCAAUCAAUUUAUGUCAUUUUUCUAUUAAUUUUAAAUUAGUAUUAGAUUAUUAUUUUUUAAAAUUUUUAAAUUGUAACUUUUUAAAUUAGAUAAUAUGAUUAAAUACAACUUUAGAAGUCUGAAUCCUAAAAUUCUUUUAAUUACUUUUAACACUUUUUAUUUAUUUUUUAAAUGUAAGACCACAAUAUUCGUAUGGGUAUUCUUCUUCGUCCUUUUCUUUAACCUUAACUUUCUAUUUGAAUGAAGGAUUUGAAAAUUUAUAGGAAAUUCAAAUAUACAAUAUUUUAAUUUUUUUUAUUUAAAUUCCUUUCAUUUUAUAAAUAUUUUGUUUAGAUGAAGUAAUUUAAUUUCAAUGAAAUUCAAAAUUUCAUUUUAAAAUAUUUAUUUAAAACUUAAAAUUUCAAUAUUAAAUCAAAAUAAAUAUUAGUCAUUUUUAAAUAUUUAAUUAUUUAAAAUAAUUUUAAUUCUAGACAAUAUUUAAUCAUAAAAAAGUAAAUGAACUUUGGCGCGAAGUUGAUAUUUAAUAAUAAAAAAGUAAAUGACCUUUAGUACCUCCUUCUUAAUCACCCCGUGGCCACGAUGACGGUUCUCCUUCCUCCAACCAUCGUUGUGCUCACACCCACCACAAACCAGGGUCGAUAUCUCCUCAUAGCAAAUCGUUGGAGCCAACACCGUGGUUUCAAAUCUGGUGCUUGUCAACGACUCUGUGGAACUCUUCAUCACCACCACCAACAUUCAUCAUCUUCGUCAGAGCAACAACACCUCCCCGCAUGGCUCCUGGUUCGCUUAAACAUGGGGUGGGGUUCAGGUGGUUCAACAUGAAGGUUCAGGAUGGUGGCAGCGUGAAAAGGUCGCCAACACCAUAGGAACACAAAACGUGUGAGAGAGAACGAAGGACUACCGUGUGAGAGGAGAGAAUUUGAAAUUCUUAUCAAUUAGGUGGAAUUUCAAUUCCUAAUAUUUUAGUCUAUUAAAAUUCUUUUAAAAAUUGAUGUAAAUUUAAAUUCUUUAACAUCUUCUAUCCAAACAAUUAAAUUAUGAUAGGAGUAUUUCAAAUUCACUAAAAAAAUGAAUUUACUUGUUUAAAUACUACAUUCAAACACACUAUAAAGAUGUUUUUAUUAAUUUAUACAUAAUCGACUGUGCAUUAAUUACAUUAAAGGGGAGGACAAAAUUCCCAGUUUUUCUAAUUUCUCACUACGUUUAAAAAAAUUCUAACAACGAUUUUGAAACCAUUUUAUAAUUAACAUAAUGCAGAAAGAGAACAAAUGAACAACAAUACAGAGACUCGUUGAGCAGUAAUGUUGAUGGGAUCACCACAAAAAAAAACAUUAAAUAUUGAUAAGGAAUGAUAUUGAUAUUUUUUUUUAUAAAAAGAGUUAAAAGUAACAAAAUAUUUUAGGGUUUUAACUUUUAAAGUUAUCUUUAAUCAUAUUUUCUUAUUUAUAAGAAAGUUGAAAUUUUAAAAAUAAUAAUCAUUGACUGAUUUGAAAAACAAAAAAAAUAAUUAAUGAGAAAAUUACAUGUAAUUUGAUUGGUAAAAAAAACUAAUAGUAUCAAAAUUCCCAAAAUUAUUAGAGACAUCAUAGAAACUCUAAAAGUAUAUUAAUCUUUGCCUUUUUCUUUUAACAAAAAAGACAUAGGUCAUAAUUAAAGAAAUAACAAAAUCUUCAUACAAAAGAAAGUCACAUAUUUAUAAAGUUCCAAACAACUACAAUAACAAAUAAUGUAUUUAUGUUCAAGGAGUCAAAGUGACAUAAUCACAUUGAGACACUCUUAUUUGCUCUCCAUCCAUGAAAUCAUAACUUUCUCCAACAUAACUUCCAUUUUGGUUCAAAUUUUCCAUAGCAUCCUAUAUCAUCUUCAUCCAUCAUCCAAGUGUAAUUCAUGUUUGACAAUAUUAAUGUAAAUAUAAGUUAGUAACUAACAUCUACUGGUGUCAUCAAUUAAAAAAAAUAAAGUUAUAAACAAAAAUUUAUCAAUGUCAUCUGAAAUGGAUUGGAUAGCCAUAUUUGCGAGGGUGGAUCAUUAAGUAAUGCAUUAAUCUUAUCAUUAGUUAAGAAUGACGGUGACUUCUCCAAUAUCUAAUUAGCAUGCUCAUGGUCAUCAACACUUUCAAAAUUCUUAGGAUAAUAAUUUUUCUUUUUCAAUGGAUUCCUAAGUUUAUUAAUUUGGUCAUUAACAAAUAAUCAACAUAAAAAAAUGAAAGAUGUAUUUAAAAAUGAAAAAAAGUUUAAAAACCUAAUAUUAGGAAAUCAAUAUUAUCAACAAUGUUGCAGGUUCUAUACUAGUUGAACAACCUAAGAAUAUUGAGUUUAGAACAUGCAAGAUACGAGUUUGGUUCAUUUUCUAUUUCUAUAAUUUUGAAAUAUACCACUUUUAAUCCUGAAAAUAGUUUAAAUAUAGCAUUAUCUAAACGUUAUUAGAUAGCGCUUUCAAAUCAAAAGUGAUGUAUUUCAAAAUUAGAGGAACUUAAAAAUGGACCGAAAAAAGGGCUUACACCAGCACUCCUUAAUCAAUAAAGCAAACUCAACCCCUUUAGCAACACCGAGUUAAGGCAUGCUUCAGAUGAAGAACCCCUUGAAAAAAUCCGCACAGAACUAUGGUUAUCUACUGCCCCACCCAUACAUCUAACCCCGAGAUAAUUAAGUUCAUUCUAUAUAUAGAUUCCAAUUUACUAUAUUUAAGAACCAUAUAUAUUCUAUAUAUAUUCUUGCUGAACAUACACUACAACAGAUUCCAUCAGGCCAUCCCAAAAUUUAGAUGAAAUGAACCAAUCUGUUGAAAUUGCUACAAAUUUCUAGAAUAUUCUUAAAUAUAAUAUGUAUGAAUAUGGUAGAACAAUCUAGAUGGUAGAACAAUCUAGAACUAUAAUGUGUAUGAAUAUGGUAGAACAAUCUAGAACUAUAAGUGUAUGUAUAAGAUAGAAAAAUCUAGAACUACCAUGAUACUAAUCUAUCAUGAAAACUCUAGAAAGACCUAAAGUAAUGUAGAAACAUUCACCACCAUUGAGAGGUUGGUGACUUGAGCCUAUAAAUAGGCAAUUGGUAUGUUGUAAUUGAGAAUCCAAUAAAUCAAUGACAUAGCCUUCUUUUUAAAACAAUUCUCUAAAGCUAUCAACUAUCAUCUAAUCAACUACCAACAGUGGUAUCAGAGUUACGUUUGGUCAUACAUUGGGCGUAGUUAUCUUACCUAUCUACCAUUCCAAAAUCCUCCCAACUACUUCAAAAAUUUUCUUUGUACUAUUAACCCACUCCAAUAAUAUUUUUUCUAAGCUAUGGAUAAUUCUACUCAAUCGUCAACUAUUUCUGUUCCUAUCUUCAUGAUAACUGCUAAAUAAUUGUAUUUUGAUAGUAGAAAAUUAGUCAAAUAUUGGCCUGAAAUUAAUUAUUCAGCAGUUAUUUGUGAUUAAAAGUUAGAAAAUUAAUUAAAUUGAAUUUUUGGUUGCAGAUAUAAAAAUUGGAGGUGUAACAAGCAAAAAGGGCAGAAAAAUUGAAGAAAAGAAGAAAAUUUGAAGAAGGCUCGGCCUAAUACGCGCGCGUCACGGGUUAAGCGGGCCAGGAAAUACACGCGCUAAGCGUGGGGUGUCGUGCUAAGCGCACCUACGAAGGCCCAAAGCUCACUUCAGCAGCUAUAAAUAGAGAGCCAGUCCAAGGGACAGAGAACACCACCACAGAACCCCCUCUCCUAGGGGUUUCAUUUACUCCCUUUCUUUCUUUCACUCCUCCUCUCAUUGUAAAGCCCUCAUGACCAUGAGUGGCUAAUCCCCUAGCUAGGGCCUGGCAGGCCUAAAAAGUCAAUGAUGUAUGGAGCAUUUCAAGAGUUAUCAAUAAAAAGAGGAAUUCCCUCUAGGUUCUUUUAUUUAUUUACCGUUCUUUCUUUUUACAUCCUGUAUCUCGGAACUUGCUUUCUGUUAGGGUUUAGUCCACUCGGGAGAGGGUAAAGCCUAAUUAGGGGUAAGGAAUGAAUACUUGAAUCUGUUUUAAGGGUUAGGUCACUCGGGAGAGGGUAACGCUUAAGAGAACACUAAAAGGAAGAAAUUAUCGGGUUAUCUUUUAGAGGGGUUUCCUUCCAGGUUCUUUUAUCUGCUUUUCUUUCUUGCUUAUUCUGCAUCUCGAACUUUGUUUUCUGUUAGUCUUUAGGCCACUCGGGAGAGGGUAAAGCCUAAUUAGGGAUAAGGAAUGAAUGCGUGAAUCGGUUUUAAGGGUUAGGCCACUCGGAAGAGGGUAACGCUUAAUAGAACAAUAAAAGAAAGAAAUUAUUGGGUUAGCAUGACUUAAUGCCCCAAUGCCCAUGCUUUAGCAAACAUCUAGAAUGUAAUCCUAAUGCAUCUUAGUUAUUGAGUCUUCGCAAAGGGCAUUUGGAAGAUAGGUAAUUAAGGUAGGCUUAUCAUCAUGAGGCAUCAGGGGCAAGUAGAUGGAUAGAUAUGGGGCAGAAUUAGUUCACUGGUAUUGAUACAGACAAAUCCUGAAUCCAAAUAUCUAGGUUGAUUAGACUUGUUAGGUUUUAGCAAUUUUAUUAUAUAGAUUUUAUUUUUCCAUUAUUUGAAUUUUGUAGAAGUAAUUAUCAUUAUCAUAUCGCAAUUUAAAUAUUUUAUCUUCUAUUUUGAUCUUUCAAUCUUUUAUCUUUUUUUUUUAUCUUCUAAUUUUAUCUUUAAGUAUCUUAUCUUUUCUUUUCUCUUCUAAGUUUAUCUUUAAAUAUCUUAUCUUUUCUUUACUUUAUCUUCUAUCUUUCUUUAUAUUUUAUUUUAAAUUCUUAUCUCUUGCUUUUAAAUUGGGUUUGCAUUAAUCUAAGUACAAACAAAGUCCCUGUGGAUUCGACACUCGGACUUCCGAGAAAUUUACUACUUGUGACGAUUUGGUACACUUGCCAACGAGUUAACACUUCAAUGGUGAAAAUUAUGAUUUCUGGCAUGUUAAAAUGGAAACAUAUUUUUCAUCUCAAGAUUUAUGGGACAUAGUAGAAGAAGGCUUCACCAUUCCCACGGAUACUUCAGCCCUUAAUGCAUCUCAAGAAAAAGAGUUGAAGAAAAAUAAAUAGAAAAAUUCAAAGGCGUUGUUCACCUUGCAACAAGCGGUUACUGAUCCAAUUUUCCCAAGAAUUAUGGGAGCUAAGAUUGCCAAAGAAGCGUGGAACACAUUGCAGGAGGAGUUUCAAGGAAGUGUUAAGGUACGUGCCGUUAAACUUCAAUCUCUAAGAAGAGAUUUUGAACUAUUGAAGAUGAAGGAGUCUGAGACAGUUAAAGAUUAAUAUUCUAAAGUUAAAGAAAUAGUUAAUCAAAUGAGAGCUUUUGGGGAAAAUAUUCUUGACAAGAAAAUUGUUGAGAAAAUUCUAAUUACUAUGCCCCAAAAGUUUGACCCAAUCGUGACAACGAUUGAGGAAACCAAAGAUCUGUCCACUCUAUCAGAGACAGAACUUGUGGGCUCUCUUGAAGUAUAUGAGCAAAGACUGUAUAGGCAUAAAGAAGAUACAAUUGAAAAUGCCUUCCAGUCAAAGUUUAAAUUUCAGCCCCAAAACAAAGAAAAUAGAGGAAAGAAAAAUUAUGGAGAAACUUCCAAAAGAAGAGUAGGUUCUAGGAAUUUCCUUAAGAACAAAACAGAUAAAAAUCCUCCAUGCAAUAUAUGCAAAAGGCAAGGCCACACAGAGAAAAAUUGUUGGUUCCGUAAUAUGCCACAAUGCAACCAUUGCAAGAAGUUCGGGCACGUAGAGAAAAAUUGUCGCAACAAAAAUAGGCAUCAAGCCAAUAUCGCAGAGGAGCAUGAUCAAGAACAAUGUACGUUCUACGCCACUCAAGACUCAAUAAAAGAAAAGGGAGGAAGCUGGUACUUGGAUAGUGGAUGUAGCAAUCACAUGGCCAAGGAUGAGACUAUUUUCAAAAGCAUUGACGAGUCUGUCAAAGUCAAAGUUCGACUGGGAAAUGGAAGUGUGGUUGAAUCAAAAGGCAAAGGAACUGUCAUGGUGGAGACAGAUAAAGGUACGCGACUCAUCCAUGAUGUCUUACUAGUUCCCAGCCUAAAAGAAAAUCUUCUAAGCAUUGGCCAAAUGAUGGAGAGAGGCUACACACUUCACUUUGAAGGAGGUGUAUGCAAAAUCUUAGACAACAAAAAUAAAAGGUCUGAGAUAGCCCAAGUAAAGAUGAAUAAGAGCAAUAGAAGCUUCCCUCUAAAUUUAAAAUAUGCAACAAACAUUGCCAUGAAGGUACAAGUUGAUGAUUCAUGGCUAUGGCAUUGAAGAUUUGGUCACUUCAACACACAUGCCUUGAAGUUGUUACAUGAGAAGAACAUGAUGAGAGAUCUUCCAAGCAUAAAGGAGAACAAUGAAGUGUGUGAAGGAUGUCUCCUUGGUAAGCAACACCGAUUUCCUUUCUCAACAAGCGGAGCAUGGAGAGCGAAAGAUCUAUUGGAGCUGAUAUAUACGAACGUUUGUGGACCAAUGAGGACGCCAUCACAUGGGAACAACAGGUACUUCAUACUCUUCAUUGAUGACUUCUCUAGAAUGACAUGGGUAUAUUUUCUAAAAGAAAAAUCAGAAGUCUUUGGAGUAUUCAAAAAGUUCAAGGCCCUUGCUGAAAAUCAAAGUGGAAAACGAAUAAAAGUACUAAGAAGUGAUCGCGGCAAAGAGUACACCUCUUGCGAGUUUGAAAGAUUUUGUAAGGAUGAAGGCACUGAGCGACAACUUACAGUCGCAUAUUCUCCUCAACAAAAUGGAGUGUCCGAGAGAAAGAAUCGCACAGUUAUGGAGAUGGCUAGAUCGAUGCUCAAGGAGAAGAGACUACCUAACACAUUCUGGGCUGAAGCAGUCUACACUGCUGUUUACAUACUCAACAGAUGUCCAACUAAGUCUGUAAGAGACAAGACUCCAAUUGAAGCUUGGAACAGAAAGAAGCCAUCAGCAAAGCACCUAAGGGUCUUUGGAUCUAUAUGCUACAUUCAUAUUCCAGACGUGAAGAGGCACAAGCUUGAAGACAAGACUAUACGAGGUAUCUUCCUUGGGUAUAGCAAUAUCUCUAAGGGCUACCGUGUCUACAACUUGCAAACUAUGAAACUCGUCAUCAGUCGAGAUGUUGAAGUUGAUGAGUACGCUUCUUGGAAUUGGGAUGAAGAAAAAGUGGAGAAGAACAUUCUUAUACCCGCUCAACUACCUCAAGAAGAAGUUGAGGAAGAAGACCCAGGUGAACCACCUGUCAAGAACUAUCGUCACUAGAGUCUACUCCAAGACGAGUAAGAUCUUUGGUGGACAUAUAUGAAACCUGUAACUUGGCCAUACUUGAACCUGGAAGCUUUGAAGAAGCGUCAAAGCAGGAAGUAUGGGUCAAGGCAAUGGAAGAAGAGAUACAGAUGAUCGAGAAAAACAACACAUGGGAGUUAGUAAAUCGUCCCCAUGGAAAAGAUAUCAUUGGGGUUAAGUGGGUCUAUAAGACAAAGCUCAACCCUGAUGGAACCAUACAAAAACACAAGGCGAGGCUAGUAGCUAAGGGUUACUCACAACAACCCGAAAUUGACUACAAUGAGACAUUUGCACCAGUAGCUUGUCUUGAUACCAUAAGAGCUCUAAUAGCUCUUGCGUCACAAAAAGGAUGGAGUAUCCAUCAACUAGAUGUCAAAUCCGCCUUCCUUAACGGCGUACUUGAAGAAGAGAUCUAUGUGGAACAGCCACAAGGAUGCGUGCCUGAAGGCAAAGAAAACAAAGUGUUAAGACUAAGAAAAGCACUCUACGGUUUGAAGCAAGCACCUCGAGCAUGGUAUAGCAGAAUCGAUCAGUAUUUCAUGGAUCGAGGAUUCAGGAGGAGCAAGAGUGAGCCUACACUUUACAUCAAGUCUCAAGGGCAAUACACUCUCUUACUCUCUCUCUAUAUGUAGAUGAUCUUAUCUACACGGGAAACAAUACUAAGAUGAUGAUGGAGUUUAAAAAAGACAUGAUGAAGACCUUUGAGAUGAACGACCUUGGUUUGAUGAGUUACUUCCUCGGCAUAGAGGUAAGUCAAAGAAAUGAAGGGAUAUUCAUCUCACAAAAGAAAUACACAGAAGGCUUACUUAAGAAAUUCAAGAUGUAUGGUUGCAAACCUGUUGCUACUCCACUCAUAACAAAUGAGAAACUACAGAAGAAUGAUGGAGCACCAGAAGCUGAUGCAUCCAAAUACCGAAGUCUAAUUGGAAGCCUCCUAUAUUUGACAGCUACACGGCCUGACAUAAUGUAUGCUACAAGUCUUCUAUUAAGAUUCAUGCAAAGCCCAAGUCAAAUACACUUUGGAGCAGGAAAAAGAAUUUUGAGGUAUCUACUAGGAACAAAAGAGUUCGGUAUAUGGUAUACUACCGAAACCAACUCAGAAUUACUUGGCUACACCGACAGUGAUUGGGCAGGUUCGACAGAUAACAUGAAGAGUACCUCUGGCUAUGCUUUCUCACUAGGAUCGGGAAUGUUCUCUUGGACGUCGAAGAAGCAAGCUACAGUAGCACAAUCAACAGCAGAAGCAGAGUACGUGGCAGUUGCGGAAGCAACGAGUCAAGCUAUAUGGCUUCGUAGGAUACUUGAAGACAUGGGAGAAAAACAAGAUGGGCCUACUAAAAUCAACUGCGACAACAAAUCAGCAAUUGCAAUGGCGAAGAAUUCAGUUCAUCACCGCAGAACAAAACACAUAGCAAUCAAGUAUCACUUUAUUAGAGAAGCUGAAGCAACUAAAGAGAUCAAACUCGACUACUACAGAACAGAAGAUCAAAUUGCAGACAUAUUCACGAAGGCUUUGCCGAGACCAAGAUUUGAAGAAUUACGAGCUAUGCUCGGAGUCACAGAAAUUUGCAUCAAGGAGGAGUGUUGAAAUUGCUACAAAUUUCUAGAAUAUUCUUAAAUAUAAUAUGUAUGAAUAUGGUAGAACAAUCUAGAACUAUAAUGUGUAUGAAUAUGGUAGAACAAUCUAGAACUAUAAGUGUAUGUAUAAGAUAGAAGAAUCUAGAACUAUCAUGAUACUAAUCUAUCAUGAAAACUCUAGAAAAACCUAAAGUAAUGUAGAAACAUUCACCACCAUCGAGAGGUUGGUGACUUGAGCCUAUAAAUAGACAAUUGGUAUGUUGUAAUUGAGAAUCCAAGAAAUCAAUGACAUAACCUUCUUUCUAAAACAAUUCUCUAAAACUAUCAACUAUCAUCUAAUCAACUACCAACACAAUCCUGAAUGCUGCUAAAAUCUAGCCAUAAGUAGAAGGAUUAAGAAACUAUAUUUGAAAUAAACAUAUCCUUUUAUUACCUUUGGCCAACAUCCAUUUCCAUGACAGGAAUUUAAUCCUAUAUGCAAUAUAAAGACAAACUAUUACAUUGUUUAUUUAUUUAAAAGAAAGGUCUCAUUUCUUUGUUUCGAAAGCGACCACACAAAAAUCCAUACUCUUUUCUUCUUCAAACUUGAGCUAUGAAAGAAGAAAUGGAAAAAAAUGCUAGUAUAAAUUUUAAGGAAGAGGCAUAAUUAAAAAUACCAGGACAGCAAAAUAUGAUGCCAGACCCUAUUGGCAAUCAACUUUUUAUGCAUGUCAAUUUGUAAUUAUUGUAACAGCAUGAUGAAUUUUUAGAAAUGGAAAACUAAAUUGAUGUUUUUUUUUAAAAAAAAAAUUGAGGACCAAUUUUAAGGAUAUAUUAAUAUAGAGACCUUGUCCACGUUUGAUUGAAAGUAUAUAUAGAGAUUAAAAAUAUAUUGUUUCUUUUAAUUUAUUAUAUUUCCUUUCAUAAAAACACAUAAUAAUAUUAAUGUGUUGAGUUUAAUUUUUAUACAGUGUUAAUCUAAUUUUUUUUACACAUUAUCAAUUAACUAAUUAAAAAUCAUUGUAGAUAUAAAUUUGAAGAUGAUUUUUGUAAAAUUUAUCCACUUAUAUACAUGCGAAUUUAUAAUUAGUUGAUAAAUAUGUAAAGACUCUUUAGAGUGCAAAGAGUAUUAUUUUUUGUAUUACAUUAUUAAAAAUAAAACAAACAAUUUAAGAUACAUUUAUUAUGUACAGAUGGAGUUAUUAGUUUAAGAAAGAAAGUAAAAGAUGAAAAGGAUUUUAAGUACUAAUGAAAAUUACUGGGAUAUAAUGAAACACAAUAAGACACGUGACAGAAGAAUAUAUUUAAUUUAAUUAUUUGUAACGAAUAAAAUUCAACUUAAUUAGUAUAUUUCAUAAAAUACAAUUGGUAAAAAAAAUUGAUCAAUUAAUUGUUAAAAAGUAAGAAAAUUUAAAUUAUUUGUAACGAAUAAAAGUCAAGUGAAGUGUUUUUAAGAAAAAUUGUUAAAAAGUAACGAAUAAAAUUGGAUUGUUUACAAAAUGUUUUAUUAAAUUCUGUACCCCUCUCCUAACUAUGUUUUGUCUUGUUGGUAGUUAUUGAAGCAACAGAGACACAGGAGGAAGUUAGAGUGCAUCUGGUGAAGCAUGAGUAGUGGCUCAGUGUGAGGUUUAAUGGACUGGAACAUUUUAUGAUGUGCUCCCCGUUGCAUGCUUUUCUGGGGGAUAUCAUACAUAUUUAUUCUCACUAGUACUGCUGCUACCUCCUGGCCCUGCUUAUUCAUAUUUAUUGUCACUAGUAUACUAAAUUAUUUGACACAUGAAUUUAAUAAAUGAUUUAUAUAAGUUGUUGGUAGAAAAAUACCAACAUUAUAAAAAGAAAAAAAACUAAUGAAUGAGACUUUAAAUCUGUAAAAAAGUUAUAAUUUACUCCUAUAUUAUAAUUUGAGUUACUCUCACUCUUUCAAUUAAUUCACUUUAUAUAUAUAUAUAUAUAUAUAUUCUUCCAAAAUUACACAAUGAUCUCUAAAACACAAUUUGAGAGUAAGACUGUUUUUUAGUUAAGAUUUCAGUUAUUCAAAUUUAAAAUAAAUUAUAACAAUUAUUAAUAUUAAUAAUUUUUAAAUAUAAUUAUCAAUUUAUUAAAAGUUUUUUGUUUCAUUUGGUUUCUUUAUUUUCACAUUUCUUUUAUAAGUAAAAGAAAUCUAUUAAUAUUAAAAUAAGUUUGACUAAAAACUUAAUUGUUGCCCAAUAUAUACAAUAAGAAAUUCAAUGAUGGGUUUGAUUUGUUAAAAAAAUUAUGAUACUAAAGAAUAUAAGUAUUUUUGUUUUAAGUUUGAUUUGAAAAUAAGAUUAUGAAACAACCACAAAUUAGAAAAGAAAACAAUAAGAUAAUUUUUUUUUAUCUUAAGUAUAUAAUAUUCAAAAGAUACACAUAAUAUCCUUACUUCUCUCUUAUUUCCUAUUAUCUAUUUAUUGUAAUAAUUUUAUAUAAUAUUUUAAAUUCACACUAUCUAUUAUAAUUAUAAUAAUUUUAUCAUAAAUUUUAAAUUCACAUUAUAUAAUAAGUUACUUAUAUAGUUACGUGUUUUGAAUUCACAUAAUAUAUAACAAUAAUAAUAAAAAUUAUAUUAAGAUGAUUUUACUAAAAAAAAUAUUUUAAUACAUUUUAUAUUAUAUUUGAUUGUGUUAUCUAACAAUAUAUACAUUAUAAAAAAAAUUCCAUUAACUCAAAUAUUUGUCUUAUGUUAUUUUUUUUUCCCUCUAAUAUGUAUCAGGCACAUCCAAACAUCCAGAGGAUAUUUUAGAGUUAACCAAAUGUAUUCCUCCCCAUUAAUGUAAUAAAGUUACCCCCUAAUCUAUCAUAAAUCCUCUAAUUUUAUUUGGUGUCAAAUAAAUUUUUAUAGUACACCAUUGGAUAGGAUUUUGGGUGUCUAACUAUAUUUAUCGAAUUUUCAAAUUAUUUUCUAUCUUUAGCACAUGUAUCUAGUAAAAAACCAUUUCUUUUCUUUUCCAAACAAACUAAACUCAACAAAAACUAACUAGAGGUAAGACAAUUAAACUAGUUGGAAUUGAACUAAAUCAAAGAUCAAUUAAAAUUCAACUAGGACAAUGAUAAUCUAAGCACGUCCCUAGCCUUGCAAGGUGUCACAACCAUAUUUUGCAUGAAGGGUAUUAGGUUAGUCAUCACUCAUCAUAAAUUCGUACGCCGGCUACCAACACCUAGUGGUCCACAAACCUAAAACCCACUUCUUUCCUUCUUUUACUAAAAUCAGAUUUUCCAGAGUAAGGAGAGAAGACAUCUAUCAUAACUCUCAACAUAAAAGUAUAACCAUGGGUGUUAAGUAAUGUGUUCCUAGCAUCAUAUUGUUUAUUUUAUUUUUCUCUUAAUUAUUAUUGUCAUUCUAUUAAUUUAAAAACGUUACUAUUUUGCUCUUCAAUCCUUAACGAAAAGUUAAAUCAAUUCUAAUCCAAAAAAAAAAAUCAAUUUUAAUUCCCUGUACCUACGUAACUUUUAAACAUUACUAACCCAUAACCGUCUCUUUGUUUCUUGUUACUAUCUAUCUUCAAUAAGUUAUCUUGUUUUAAUUCCAUUUAUCUCUAACCGUACAAAACUCUGUAUCAUGUUUUUAUUUUAUUUUUUGCUAUUUGAAUUGCUAUAUUUAAUUUUUAUUUAUUUAUAUGCUUGGUUUUUAACUUCUUUAUUUAAUUCUAAAAAACACUUCUUUUAUUUAUUCCACAUAUAAAUCUCUACUAUACCACAGUAACUCUUUUUACCAUUUAUUUAUUCUGCUGUUAGUUAUAUAUUUGUUGUUAGUUAAUUAUAAAUACUGUUAGUUACGUACUUACAUAUGCCCAUUUUAUUUUAUUUAUAAAUACUGUGUUAUUUAUAUACAUAUGUUGCUUUUUUUUUUUUACUGUAUAUACAUAUUUUUCUAUUACAAAUUUAUGAGAUUAUACAUAUACGUAGUUAAUAAUUUUUAAAGUUAAACUCCAUCCAUGACUAUCUAAAGUUGAAGCAAUUUAUUUGAAAAUUACAAUUUUGCCACUAAUGUUUGAUUAAAAUAUUUUAAUAUCAUUAAAAUAGUUGCUAAUUUUUAUAUUAUUAUGUGUGACUAUUGUUAAUAUGUUGCUCAACGGAAAUCAGAAGUAUCUCCAAUAUUCCACACAUCAAGAAAAAAUGGUUUUUAGAGCCAGAAGAUUUCUAAUUUUACAAAGUGGAUCGUUAAUCAGUUAGUGACCAAAUAAGAGACCAAUUUUAGCAAUUGUAGCUAAAGUUUUAGUCGCUGAUUGUUGAUUCCAAUUUAGACACUGAUUUAAAAACCGAUUAGAUGACUGGUUUUAUUACAAUUAAUGUAGUUACUCAAAUUAUAGAGACUAAUUUAGUGACCAAUACUGUAGAGACUAAUUUGGUGACCAUGUUAUAAAAGUUGAUUUAGUGACUCAUGGGUAGUGACCAAACUAAAAACCACUUUCAUAAUGACUGACUAGUGACCAAAUUUAUGUUAACUGUUUUUGUGACGAUACUAUUAAUCGAUGUAGUAACUCAUUUAACUAAAAAAAAUCCAGUCUAAAUCAAUCUCUAAGUAGUGAAUCUCGUGUUUAAAGAUUCCAUGAUUUCUCCAUGUAUCUUGAGUUUUUUAGAUUUUUUUUUGUUAUCAUAUGUUAUUAGUACAAAGUGUUAAUUAAUUUAGUAAAAAAAAUUGACUAACCGUUUUUAAUGGAAUCUCCCUCCAUCAAAGUAUAUAUAUAUAUAUAUAUAUAUAUAUAUAUAUAUAUAUAUAUAUAUAUAUAUAAGUGUCCAGUAUAAAUGGAUACAUGUGUACAUAACCUAAGCCUUCACCAAACAGCUUAAGUUUUCUUUGGAGUUUGAAAUUUCCAAUCUAGAUCUCCAUUAAAACCUGAAAUAAAGCCCACAAAUCUACAUCAAUAUUUAAAUAGCAUGCCAAACCCAUAUGUGUACCACAUUGUGCCAAAAUUAAUAAUGAGACAAUUCAAACCCUUGUUUAGUCCUUGGAAACUCACAUUACUUUAGAACCUUUAGGUGGAGAUAGAUAACUUAAAUUCUUCACGACUCAUUCACAAUUAAAAUACCUACUAAUACAAAUGUCAUGAGUAGGGAUGAUAAGAAUAUGCAUACUUGUAAGUAUUCGUUCUGAUCUUGACAAAAAAUACACUAUUUAAUCGGAUAUCAAUAUGAAUAUUACUCGUCGUUAGUGGAGGUAACUAUAAAGAUGAUAAUUAUGACGACUGAGGUGGUAAUAGUUGUAAUAGUUAGUGAUGGAUCUUCAUUGGGACAUAGGGGGGCAUGGUCAUCUAACCAAUUUUUUUUGUUAUUUCUUUAUAUAUAUAUAUAUAUAAUUUAUAUUUUAAGAUUUUAAUAAGAUUAUUUUUAAUAUUUUAUUAUUCUUAAAGUUAUUUCUAAUAUAUAUAUAUAUAUAUAUAUAUAUAUAUUAAUAAUAAUUUUCAUACAUUAACUUUUUCCUUAUUCUUAUGGGUUUUCCUAGCAAUUUUUUAUGAAUUUGUAAAUUUUGCAAUUUUUAAUUCAAAAUUUGUAAUGACUUUGGCAAAAAUGUAAGUAUUCCUUAAACUCUUUGGAAAAAUCUGUAUAAUUUUUUUUUGUAUUCUAAUAUAAUUUUUGUUUUGUAUAAAAAAAAUUAAUUUCUUUAAUUUGCAGUUUCACAAAAAUAAAUUAAAGAUAAGCUCGAAAAAACUUGAACAGUAUUUUUAAUAAGCUCGAAAAAAUAUUUUUUUUAAUUCAUAAAAAUAAAAUAACAUUUGAAUAUUAUGGUUAAGGCUUAAAAUCACUGUGACAAAAGAAAGCUUAAAAUCACUUAUAAAAAAUGAUAUUAUCAAAAUUAUUAUAUUGAAUUAUACUUUAUAACUACUUUGGUCCUCCAAACUUUUUUUCGAGCUUCAUCACUGAUGUUGAUGUUGGUGAUGAUGAUGGGUUAAUAAUAAUAAAGAAGAGUGAUAUAAUAAUUAAGAUAUUUUAAAAUAUAAUAAUUAAUUAAGAUUUUUUUUAUAGAUUUGAUUUUUGUUCCCUGAUCUCUAAACACAGUUUGAGAGUAGGAUUGAUUAUUUUAAGAUUUUACAAUUUUUAAAAUUUAAAUUGUGUUUAUUAUUAGCAUAUUAUUAUAUUCAAAUUAAAAUUAAAAUUGAAUCAUAUUUUAUUUUAAAUUAUAACAACUAUUAAUAUUAAUAUUUCUAAAGUAUAAUUGUCUAUUUCUUAAAACUUUUUUCUCUGCUUCCUUUCACAUUUUUUUUAGUAAAAGAGAUAUAUUAAUAUUAAAAUAAAUUUGACUAGAAACUCAAGAUAUGUCUUAGCCCAAUAUGUUAAAUAAUUUUAAUAGUACAUUUUUUCACCUCAUUUUCUCUCUCAAACUUGACUAUAAAAGGCAAUAGUAUCUCAGAAGCGAAAUACGCAACUGAUUAACCAUGGCUUCUUCUACAUCACAUCCAUCCUUUUGGUCCCUCCUGAACCUGUCUGCAUCCAUUCCCAUUUCUUCUUCCGUAUGCAUGUUCCCACCGUCUAAAAAACCUAGCAAAGCAACAAAACGGCGUCAUGCUUGGGAAGUAGCAUGCAAUGGUAACCCUAGAAAUAGGAGGGACAUUCUGAUCGGCCUUGGAGGACUCUAUGGUGCUACAACAAGUCUCACAAGUAACAACACUGGUUCUGCAUUUGGUGCUUCAUUGUCGCCUCCAGAUCCAACUAACUGCGUUCAACCGGACCCAGAAAAAGACCCUUUUUGCCCACCACCCCCCUUCAAAGACUACGAGCUCCCUCCACACGAUGACAAGACAUUACCCCUUCGAAUUAGACCAGCUGCUCAUUUGGUCACUGAUGAUUACAUAGCCAAGUACGAGGAAGCCGUGAGGCGCAUGCAAGACCUUCCACCUGAUGAUCCUCGCAGUUUCAUGCAACAGGCCAAUGUCCACCGUGCCUACUGCGAUGGUCGCGGCUAUACUCAAAAGGGCUUCGCUGACUACAAGCUUGACGUUCACGGCUCCUGGAUAUUCUUUCCUUGGCACCGCUGGUAUCUCUAUUUCUAUGAGAAAAUCUUGGGGAAGAUGAUCGGUGACCCCACUUUCGCUCUUCCGUUUUGGAACUGGGACAAUCCCGCCGGCAUGAGAAUCCCUCCCAUUUUCACAGACAAAAGUUCGCCUCUCUACGACGAACACAGGAAUAGCGAUCAUGUAAAUGCUUUCAUCGACCUAGACUACAAGAAGGACGAUUCUCCUGUGAAACCUCCUCAAACAAUUUUAUGGCCGCCAGUGGAGAAAAAGAAUAACUCGAUCGUCGACAACUUGAUCGUCAACAACUUGAUAAAAGUUUAUACGGCAGUUGCAAGCAAAACCAACUCAAGCCCAGACUACUUCCUCGGGCCAGCAUUCGAAGCUGGUUCUGCACCUCAGCAACACUUUGGAUCUCUGGAAUCUUUGCACAAUACUGUCCACAGCUGGACCGGUGAAAGAGAAAACAAUCACCACGACAUGGGGUUGUUGGCUACGGCUGCAAAAGAUCCCAUUUUCUUUGCUCACCAUUCAAACGUCGAUAGGAUGUGGAACAUAUGGAAGACAGAAUUGCUGGAUGGAAGAAGAUUUGAUCACAAAAGUGACGACUGGUUGGAAUCCAGUUUCUUCUUCUACGACGAGAACAAGAACUAUGUGCGUGUGAAGGUCAAAGACUGCCUCGACUCCAAGAAGAUGGGGUAUGAUUACCAACGUGUUGACCUUCCAUGGCUGUUGGCUGGGGAACUCAUCAAACCAAAGAAGGAGAUUAUUCUCCUUCGUUCAAAACCAGAAGCUUCAACAUUCAAGACAUUACAGCUCCCUCUCCCUCUGGAAUCCAUUGAGCGUACAAACGUGAAGAGGCCGAAGCCGCGAUCCAGGAACGAGAAUGAAGAAGAAGAAGAAGGCGUAGAAGAGGUGUUAGUGAUAGAUGUUGAGUACGAUAGCACUGAUGGUGUGAGGUUUGAUGUGUUCAUCAACGACCAAGGCGACAAUGAGAUUGGACCCCAGGAUUCAGAGUUUGCGGGAAGCUUUGUGACUUUGCCUCACUCGCCGCAUGUCAACCAUAACAACAUCACCAAAGCUUCUUUCAAAUUGCCAUUAACGUAUAAGUUGAAAGACUUGGGAGUAACAAAAGACGAUGAUAGUAUUUCUGUCACACUGGCUCCCAUAUAUGGGGACAAGCCUGUUACAAUUAAGGACGUAAGGAUAAAGCGUGUUUAUCCUGAGGUGGACGAUGAAUAAAUCUAAAUUAUGUGUGUGCUACUGCUAGGGUUUGUUCCUCCAAGGGAUACUCUAUCUGUCAUUUGUUGUUUCUUAAUUAGUGUGUUGUAGUUAUUUUCCUUGGAACUUAAUAGAUCCCUUUCAUCUGUGAGGGAUACUAUGUUAUUGUUAUAAUAAAUGUUUGUUUUAUUGUUACAUUUGUUUAUAAUACAAUAUAACUCCUAAUCUCCUUUUAAUUAAUAUAUAUUAAUUGAAAAGAAUGAAUGAAAAGAAUAGUUUAACUAUUAGUUAGCCAACCUAAGAAGAAAGAUAAUUUGGUUCAAAGAAAUGCUUUACCACCCAUGUUAGUGAAUAUGUUCACUUCUAUUGAUGAUUCUACAACUAUACAUACACUUGUAUGUUCAGUGCAGUUUUGCCUCUAGCUAGGUCGUGGUAUCAUACUUUUAGCUAUAUUGGUAUGUUAUGCCAAUUCCUCAGUAUUUAUACUCGUGUUUUUUCCAAUUCUUGUUUUAUAGCUCAGGUUUAAAUAAGAAAAGGAGAGUUUGCUUUCUUUUUUUGGGAAAAAUGUAAAUUAUAUUAAACCCAAAAUGAUACAAUAAUAAACGGAGCAUAUCCCGCAGUUAAAGAAAAUCAAAAGUCCCCCUUAUACAAGAAGACCUAUAUCAAGAUGCUAAAACAAAUGCAACAAGUGCGCUUGUCUAUACAUAAGAAACUUAAUCUUGCUAAUAACCUCUAUUACAUAAAAUUGAUAAUCUUUAAAAAUCAGCUUGUUCCUAGACAGCCAGAUGCAAUAGACUGUAAUUGUUAUAGCCAGACAACGUAAUUUUCCUUGAACACCUGAUGUGGAUCUGCCCCUAAUUAAAGAGUCAGUAAUGCGCUGUAAAGAAGUGAAACGUCUGUGGAAAGGAGCCAAAUCACGAAUGUGAUCCCAAACUUGAAGAGAUUUCCUGCAAGAAAAGAACAAAUGAGCAUUUGACUCAAUCUCAUUUGAACAUAAAGGGCAGAGGGAACCCUUGUUCAAAAAAGCAACUUUGUCAAGAGUAAGCAGCCGGUUCCUUUUAGCAAGUCACAGAAUGAAAGACAUCUUAGGGGGGAUUGCUGGGUUCCAUAUAACAGAACACCAACUAACAAUAGGCUUGACACCUCUAAUGUAUUCAUAGACUUUGCCAACAAGCAAUUGUUCAUUGGUGCUCCAAGAUUGAAUCCUCUUUUUGGCCUCUUCCGUACUUAGCUCUUUGGAGAUAAUAAAGUCCCUUAUUUGAAUGAUUUUCUUUAUCAAAACUGAAUCUGAUGAAGAAGUAUUGUAAUUCCACACAUCGCUCCUUCUGAAAUAGUAAUGGUGAACCCACCGAACUCAUAGAGAAUCUUUCUUACAAUGAAAGUCCCACAGGAUACGGGAAAGAAGCGCAAGGUUCUAGUCCUUGAGAUUAAAAAGGCCUAAACCCCCUUCUUUUUUCGGAGAACAAACUACUGACCAAGCAACCAAGGGCUUGUUUUUGCUAAUAUCCGCUUUGCCCCACAGAAAAUUACGACACGAAGCGUUGAUCCGGUCUAGAAUAGAUUGCGGCAAAGGAAAAAUCUCCAUCCAGAAAUUCACAAUUCCUUGAAUAACUACUCUGAUCAACUCUAACUUACCUGCAUAAGAUAAAGACUUCUUGCUCCAUCCCUGAAUCAGGCCAGUAAUCUUGGAAAGCAAGGGAGCAUAAUGACAUACAUUUAAUCUAGAUGAUAAAAGGGGAACACCCAAGUAUCUAAAAGGGAAGUCACCCAAGCUAAAUCCAGUAAGCUGCUGAAUAUGAGAAAGCUCAUGAGGCCUAAUACCGACUGAGUAUAUGACAGAUUUAUCAGAGCUGAUGAAAAGCCCUGAAACCCUACAGAAGUGAUGAAGUUUGGCAAACAUAGUUGACACAAAAGGGAUAUUUCCUUUAGAUAGAAGCAUAAUAUCAUCUGCAAAAGCCAAAUGAGAUAGUUGAAUACUUGCACAGUUGGGAUGAAAUUUAAAAUUGACAUCAUCCUUGAGGCUGCUCAUAUCUCUAGAAAAGUACUCCAAACAGAGCACAAACAGAUAAGGGGAGAGAGGAUCCCCUUGUCUAAGACCCCGCUGCCCUUUGAAGUGACCAUAAAUGGAUCCAUUGACUGCCACACUAAAGAAAGUGGAAGAAACACAUUCCAUGAUCCAAGUACAGAACUGGGCUGGGAAGCCAAUGGACUUAAGCAUCCAAUCCAAGAAUUUCCAGGAAAUGGAAUCAUAAGCUUUAUGCAAGUCAAUUUUUAGGAGGCAUCUCGGAGAGGAUCUUUUCCGGACAUAUUUGCGCAAAAUCUUUUGAACUAGGAAGAUGUUGUCCAUCAUCUUUCUGUUCUUAAUGAAAGCAGUUUGAGUUUUUCCAAUAAUAGUCUCAAGCACUGGGGCUAUGCGGUUGGCCAGAAUUUUAGAUACAAUCUUGUAUAACAAAUUACAGCAAGAUAUGGGUCUAAAAUGGUUAACCUGGGAGGCCUGAUCAUGCUUAGGAAUAAGCGCAAUAAUAGCAUGGUUGAGCUGCUUUAGAAUUUUUCCAGUUGUAAAGAAUUCAUUAACCGCUGCAAAGAUAUCAUCACCAAUGAUAUUCCAAGCCUUCUUGAAGAAUAAAACAUUGAAACCAUCUGGCCCAGGAGCUUUAUUGUUAUCCAUCACAGAAAUAACGUUCCAAACCUCUUGCUUAGAAGUAGGACAAAGUAAGGCCGCAAAACAAUCGGUGGGAACCUUAGGACCCCUGUUGCAAAUCGAAAUGGAAGGAGUUUGGGUCAGCUCAUGAGCACUAAACAAAUUCCUAAAGUGAUUCACAAAAGCAAGGCAAUUUCAUCUUGAUUGGUUGUGAGUGUGUAGUUUACUUGGAGGUAUUGAUGGUUAUUAAAUAUUUCUGGUUCAUAUCAUAAAUACUAACUAAUUAACCAUCACAGGCUGGCGAGGAUAGGAGGUUGUACAAAAUCUACCAGUUUUUUUUUUUGUACUAUACGGUAUUUCUUAUGCCCAUCAUAUGUUUAUAAAGUAUUUUUUUGCUGAAAAAAGGGUAUGCAAUUGAUAAUAUUAAUUUCUUAACCAAUCAAUUUAUAUGUCAUUUUUCUAUUAAUUUUUUCUUCAAAUUAGUAUUAGAUUAUUAUUUUUUAAAAUUUUAAAAUUGUAACUUUUUUAAAUUAGAUAAUAUGAUUAAAGACAACUUUGAAAGUCUGAAUCCUAAAAUUCUUUUAAUUACUUUUAACAUUUUUUUAUUUAUUUUUUAAAUGUAAGACCACAAUAUUCGUAUGAGUAUUCUUCUUCGUCCUUUUCUUUAACCUUAACCUUCUGUUUGGAUGAAGGAUUUAAAAAUUUAUAGGAAAUUCAAAUAUACAAUAUUUUAAUUGUCUUGAUUUAAAUUCCUUUCAUUUUAUAAAUAUUUUGUUUGGAUGAACUAAUUCAAUUUCAAUGAAAUUCAAAAUUUCAUUUUAAAAUAUUUAUUUAAAACUUAAAAUUUCAAUAUUAAAUAAAAAUAAAUAUAAUUCAUUUUUUAAAUAGUUAAUUAUUUAAAAUAAUUUUAAUGCUAGACAAUAUUUAAUAAUAAAAAAGUAAAUGAACUUCGACGCGGAGUUGAUAUUUAAUAAUAAAAAAGUAAAUGACCUUUAGUACCUCCUUCUUAAUCACCUCGUGGCCACGAUGACGAUUCUCCCUCCUCCAACCAUCGUUGUGCUCACACCCACCACAAACCAAGGUCGAUAUCUCCUCAUAGCAAAUCGUUGGAGCCAACACCGUGGUUUCAAAUCUGGUGCUUGUCAACGACUCUGUGGAACUCUUCAUCACCACCGCAAACAUUCAUCAUCUUUGUCGGAGCAACAACACCUCCCCACAUGGCUCCUGGUUCGCUUAAACAUGGGCUAGGGUUCAAGUGGUUCAACAUGAAGGUUCGGGAUGGUGGCAGCGUGAAAAGGUCGCCAACACCAUAGGAACACAAAACGUGUGAGAGAGAACAAAGGACUACCGUGUGAGAGGAGAGAAUUUGAAAUUCUUACCAAUUAGUUGGAAUUUCAAUUCCUACUAUUUUAGUCUAUUAAAAUUCUUUUAAAAAUUGAUGUAAAUUUAAAUUCUUUAAAAUCUUCUAUCCAAACAAUUAAAUUAUGAUAGGAGUAUUUCAAAUUCACUAAAAAAAUGAAUUGAUUUGUUUAAAUACUAUAUUCAAACACACUAUAAAGAUGUUUUUAUUAAUUUAUACAUAAUCGACUGUGCAUUAAUUACAUUAAAGGGGAGGACAAAAUUCACAGUUUUUAUAAUUUCUCAGGACGUAUAAAAAAAUUCUGACAACAAUUUUAAAACCAUUUUAUAAUUAACAUAGUGCAGAAAGAGAACAAAUGAACAACAAUACAGAGACUCGUUGAGCAGUAAUGUUGAUGGGAUCACCACAAAAAAAAAAAUUAAAUAUUAAUAUUUUCACAUAAACAAGGAAUGAUAUUGAUAUUUUUUUUUAUAAAAGAGUUAAAAGUAACUAAAAAUAUUUUAAGGUUCAAACUUUUAAAGUUAUCUUUAAUCAUAUUUUCUUAUUUAAGAAAGUUGCAAUUUAAAAAAUAAUAAUCACGGACUAAUUUGAAAAACAAAAAAAAUAAUUAAUGAGAAAAUUACAUGUAAUUUGAUUGGUAAAAAAAACUAAUAGUAUCAAAAUUCCCAAAAUUAUUAGAGACAUCAUAGAAACUCUAAAAGUAUAUUAAUCUUUGCCUUUUUCUUUUAACAAAAAAGACAUAAGUCAUAAUUAAAAAAAUAACAAAAUCUUCAUACAAAAGAAAGUCACAUAUUUAUAAAGUUCCAAACAACUACAAUAACAAACAAUGUAUUUAUGUUCAAGGAGUCAAAGUGACAUCAUCACAUUGAGACACUCUUAUUUGCUCUCCAUCCAUGAAAUCAUAACUUUCUCCAACAUAACUUCCAUUUUGGUUCAAAUUUUCCAUAGCAUCCUAUAUCAUCUUCAUCCAUCAUCCAAAUGUAAUUCAUCUUUGACAAUAUUAAUGUAAAUAUAAGUUAGCAACUAACAUCUACUGGUGUCAUCAAUUAAAAAAAAAUAAAGUUAUAAACAAAAACUUACCAAUGUCAUCUAAAAUGGAUUGGAUAGCCAUAUUUGCGAGGGUGGAUCAUUAAGUAAUGUAUUAAUCUUAUCAUUAGUUAAGAAUGAUGGUAACUUUUCCAAUAUCUAAUUAGCAUGCUCAUGGUCAUUAACACUUUCAAAAUUCUUAGGAUAAUAAUUUUUCUUUUUCAAUGGAUUCCUAAGUUUAUUAAUUUGGUCAUUAACAAAUAAUCAACAUAAAAAAAAUGAAAGAUGUAUUUAAAAAUGAAAAAAAGUUUAAAAACCUAAUAUCAGGAAAUCAAUAUUCUCAACAAUGUUGCAGGUUCUAUACUAGUUGAACAACCUAAGAAUAUUGAGUUUAGAACAUGCAAGAGUGCGAAAAGCAGUUGGGUUCAUUUUCUAUUUCUAUAAUUUUGAAAUAUACCACUUUUAAGCCUGAAAAGUUUAAAUAUAGCAUUAUCUGAACGUUAUUAGAUAGUGCUUUCAAAUCAAAAGUGAUGUAUAUCAAAAUUAGAGGAACUUAAAAAUGGACCGAAAAAAGGCUUACACCAGCACUCCUUAAUCAAUAAAGCAAACCCAACCCCUUCAGCAACACCGAGUUAAGGCAUGCUUCAGAUGCAGAACCCCUUGAAAAAAUCCGCGCAGAACUAUGGUUAUCUACUGCCCCACCCAUACAUCUAACCCCGAGAUAAUUAAGUUCAUUCUAUAUAUAGAUUCCAAUUUACUAUAUUUAUGAACCAUAUAUAUUCUAUAUACAUUCUUGCUGAACAUACACUACAACAGAUUCCAUCAGGCCAUCCCAAAAUUUAGAUGAAAUGAACCAAUCCUGAAUGCUGCUAAAAUCUAGCCAUAAGCAGAAGGAAUAACAAACUAUAUUUGAAAAUAAACAUAUCCUUUUAUUACCUUUGGCCAACAUCCAUUUCCAUGACAGGAAUUUAAUCCUAUAUGCAAUAUAAAGACAAACUAUUACAUUGUUUAUUUAUUUAAAAGAAAGGUCUCAUUUCUUUGUUUCGAAAGCGACCACACAAAAAUCCAUACUCUUUUCUUCUUCAAACUUGAGCUAUGAAAGAAGAAAUGGAAAAAAAAUGCUAGUAUAAAUUUAGAGGAAGAGGCAUAAUUAAAAAUACCAGGACAGCAAAAUAUGAUGCCAGACCCUAUUGGCAAUCAACUUUUUAUGCAUGUCAAUUUGUAAUUAUUAUAACAACAUGAUGAAUUUUUAGAAAUGGAAAACUAAAUUGAUGUUUUUUUUUAAAAAAAAAAAUUGAGGACCAAUUUUAAGGAUAUAUUAAUAUAGAGACCUUGUCCACGUUUGAUUGAAAGUAUAUAUAGAGAUUAAAAAUAUAUUGUUUCUUUUAAUUUAUUAUAUUUCCUUUCAUAAAAACACAUAAUAAUAUUAAUGUGUUGAGUUUAAUUUUUAUACAGUGUUAAUGUAAUUUUUUUUACACAUUAUCAAUUAACUAAUUAAAAAUCAUUGUAGAUAUGAAUUUGAAGAUUAUUUUUGUAAAAUUUAUCCACCUUAUAUACAUGCGAGUUUAUAAUUAGUUGAUAAAUAUAUAAAGACUCUUUAGAGUGCAAAGAGUACUAUUUUCUGUAUUACAUUAUUAAAAAUAGAACAAACAAUUUAAGAUACAUUUGUCAUGUACAGAUGGAGUUAUUAAUUUAAGAAUGAAGUAAAAGAUGAAAAGGAUUUUAAGUACUAACGAAAAUAACUGGAAUAUGAUGAAACACAAUAAGACACGUGACAGAAGAAUAUAUUUAAUUUAAUUAUUUGUAUCGAAUAAAAUUCAACUUAAUUAGUAUAUUUCAUAAAAUACAAUUGGUAAAAAAAAUUGAUCAAUUAAUUGUUAAAAAGUAAGAAAAUUUAAAUUAUUUGUAACGAAUAAAAGUCAAGUGAAGUGUUUUUAAGAAAAAUUGUUAAAAAGUAACGAAUAAAAUUGGAUUUUUUACAAAAUGUUUUAUUAAAUUCUGUACCCCUCUCCUAACUAUGUUUUGUCUUGUUGGUAGUUAUUGAAGCAACAGAGACACAGGAGGAAGUUAGAGUGCAUCUGGUGAAGCAUGAGUAGUGGCUCAGUGUGAGGUUUAAUGGACUGGAACAUUUUAUGAUGUGCUCCCCGUUGCAUGCUUUUCUGGGGGAUAUCAUACAUAUUUAUUCUCACUAGUACUGCUGCUACCUCCUGGCCCUGCUUAUUCAUAUUUAUAUUUAUUGCUUCCUUGGAUGCCUUAAAUUAAUAUGUUUUUCUCCGUCUAAGUUAGUAUUCCAAAUCUUGGAUGAUGAAACUUCAAUUUGUUAUCUAUGAAAAUAAGAUCCUUUACGUUCACACGUUUAUGCAUUUUAUUUCCGUUCAUCUAUUAAUUUCUCCUUGAAUAUAGUAACUUCACUUACCAGAAGAACCAGAAGUGAGGAAAAUUUACAAUAAUCCUAAUAAAUUAAGCCAUCUAUACAUGGAGCAAUUGUGCUAAGAUUUUUGUUAUAUUUUAUUAUCCUAGCCUGGGAUGAGGGAAAAAUUAGUUUAAACUUUGUUUGCUUAGGAAGUUAAAACUUUUGCUUAUCGUGUAGUCUACACUCGAUUCAUGGGUUUCUCAGUUCUUGUGUAAAACUUGGUCCCUAUCAGAAAGGGAGGCCUCAAUAAUUUUAUAUAACUUUUCUUCAAUUUUUCAUAUUCAUUUUAAAAAUUAAUGUUAUCAAAAGAUGGCUAAUAUGAGCCCUUAUUUGACACAAAUUGUAUGAGUUUCAACUUUAUUUCAAGUGUUUAUUUUUAUUAGGAUACUAGGCAAUUAUUAUUUUUUAUUGGACAUUUGGGAAUUUUUUUUUUUUUACAGACAUCGUAUAUGCUGCAGAGAGUAUUCAAGCUUCAAGCUUGACACUGAAAUAUGAAGAGUGCUGUGAACAUAAAAAUAGUUUAUCAAAAUAGUUUUCUUUUAUUGAAAGUGUAAUUUUAAGAUUUAUGUAUAUAAAAAAGUGAAAGAUAAGUGAGAAAUAAAUAUAAUUUAGAUAACUGUCACCUGUCACAUGUAGUGACCAUUUCUCCGUUUUAAGUAUAAUUGAGCUACUGAAAUAUUCAUAUUAGCAAAAUGGCAGGUUUAGCAUAGAGAAAAGGAUGAGUAAGUGUUCCAAAUUGACAACAAAAAAAUAUUACAAUCAUAUUUUUUGGCUAGAUUUUCACUUACGAUGAAUGGUGUUCAAAAAAAACUUCUUAAAAUUGUAUGACUAGUUAGACUUCUAGGCAAAACAUAAGCAAAUGUCAAUGUAUUUGCAUUUUUAUAGUAGGAUAAGAGUAAAGGUUAAUGAGGUUUUCAUCUAUAUACAUUAUUGAGGAUAUAGAUGUAGGGCAUUAAACAAGUUCUAUUAUCAUUUGAAUGAGCAUCUAUUAAUUCUUGACUAUUCUUUCUUUUGGGAACAUAAAUUAAGGCUCUCUUCAAUUAAGUUUCACUUACGAGACUGUCUAAUUAUACUCACUGUCCCCCACCUCUAAUCUACCAUGCUUGAAAUUUCUAGCCAAUUAACUUCAUUAUUACCACACUGGUCUGCACGAAUAAUUGUUGAAAUUAAAUAUCUUCAUACUGAUAAAAAAAACUGCAACAUCUGCGACCAUAUUUAUGAAGUCUACGCAGAUGUAAGAUUGAACUGGUAGCUAGAUUGGAAAAUGGACUUAAGAUAAAGGAAGAAGAGGGGAAAAAGAAGUUAUGUGUUCAAAUUUCUUUCACGUAUUUCUAAUCAACCUAAUAAAUUAAUUUUUGUUGAUUUAAAAAAAACACAUACAAAUACAGGACUAUAUUUACUGGAUCCCACCUUCAAAGUUGCCAUUAUUGAUAUUUAUUGGAUCACAUUUGCAACGUUGCCUUUAUUGAUUUGUACAUAAAAAAUUAAUUUUGCUUGCGAAAUUGUCAAUAUGGUAUUGCUAAAUUAGGAAACAGAAGUUAGGUAUACAAUCAUUCGGAACCCUUUGGGUACCACUACCCACUUGAUUCACGAGUUCUUCGACAAAUCCAUAUAGUAACAUCACUCCUUUUAAUUAUAUUAAAAUUAAACUAAUGUCUCACAUCUAUUUAUUAUAUUUUUAUAUUAAAGCACGGCUAAACCCAAGUCUUGCAUUCUUGGCAUUUUCAUCAAGUUUGAUCUGUGUUGGUCAUUAUAAAUCCCCAUUUCAAACUUGACCAACAUAAUGCAAUGUAUCUUAUGCACUAUAUACAGCUGUAGCAAACUGACAAAAUACAGCAAUAAUUUUAACACCAAAAUACAAAUAAACGAUAUCAUCAUCAAUUUUUUUAAUUAUUUGAAACUGGUGCACAUUUUCUUCAAGAUCCAUCAAUUAUUCCACAUUCCCAAAAACUAUAUCUUCAUCAAGAAAUAUGAAAAAUAAUAUCUCUGUAUUAACACAUCCUACAAAGAAGUUGAAAAUAAAAAUAAACAAAAUAAGAUACCUCAAAAUAAUUAUAUACUUAAAAAGGAUUCAGAAUUUCAGAUUCCACUCAAACGUGCUACAAAAAUGAAUUUUCAAAUUUUUUUUUCCCCUCAUAUAAUUCUACUCAAAUUUUAUCUUAUCUUCUUAUUUCUCUUCAGACAGAGAUCACCUGUCUCACAUCAUAUUUAUUAUUCGAUAUCAAACAAUUUUUAAAUUUUGUUUUUAUCAUGGUCUUUCUUUAUACUCAAAAUAUAUAUCUUAUCUCAAUUAUUUCAAUCAAUUUUAUAAUUUUUUACCUUACAAGAUAGGUAACUAAUCAUUAACCACAUUCACAUUUUUUUUACUCAUAACAUAGAUGUGAUAGGUAACGGACUGAUUAGUUACCUAUCAGUUAUAAGAUAGAUAAUUUUCUCCCUUAUAACUAAUCUUGUCCAAAUUUUUCAACACAGAAAGGACCUAUUCUCUUUAUAGACUUAUCCUUUUUUCCACCACCGAAGGAGACCUAUCCUUUUUGCCUCAUGGUCUUUCUUUAUACUCAAAAUAUCUAUCUUAUCUCAAUUGUCUCACUCAAUUUUAUAAUUUUUUACCUUACAAGAUAGAUAACUAAUCAUUAACCACAUUCACAUUUUUCUUACACAUAACAUAGAUGUGAUAGGUAACGGACUGAUUAGUUACCUAUCAGUUAUAAGAUAGAUAAUUUUUUCCCUUAUAAUUAAUGUUGUCCAAGUUUUUCAACACAGAAAGGACCUAUUCUCUUUACAGACCUAUCCUCUUUCCACCACCAAAGGAGACCUAUCCUCUUUGCUUCAUGAUCUUUCUUUAUACUCAAAAUAUCUAUCUUAUCUCAAUUGUCUCACUCAAUUUUAUAAUUUUUUACCUUACAAGAUAGGUAACUGAUCAUUAAACACAUUCACGUUUUUCUUACUCAUAACGUGGAUGUGAUAGGUAGCAGACUGAUCAGUUACCUAUCAGUUAUAAGAUAUAUAAUUUUAUCCCUUAUAACUAAUCUCGUCCAAGUUUUUCAACACAGAAAGGACCUAUCCUCUUUAUAGAUCUAUCCUCUUUUCACCAUCAAAGGAGACCUAUCCUCUUUGCCUCAUGAUCUUUCUUUAUACUCAAAAUAUCUAUCUUAUCUCGUCACCAUAAUCUUUGUUCUCUUGCUUUUCCUACUCAUAAAAAUACUAUCGUAAGGAAAGGACCAAUAAGCGGAGCAACCGGACUUAACUUUAAUAGUAUUAUUUUUUUUUCAUUUUGUGAUUCAAACUUCACUAUAAAAGUGCAGUGCUAUGGAUCAUUUUGAGUUAUACUACUUUCUUGGUACCAAAAAAUUUACACACUAUUGUUAUUUGUGCAAAAUAUUUAAAUAAUUUUGCAUUGUACUUUAUAAUGAUUUAUAUGUUAAUAUUGAUAAUAUACAGUAGAUAUAGAUAUAAUUUAUUUAUUAUAAUAUUUAUGAUAUAUAGUCUGUAAAAUUAUUAAUUUUAUAAAUCUUUGUUACUAUUUUAACCAUAUAAUAAUUAUUUGGUUGUUGCACAACAAUUUCAUGUUGAAUCAUUAUCAUCUGGGGUCAAAGUUACGUGGCGAUGCAUGUUAUCCACUAAAUAAAUGUGUUUAGCAUAAAAUUGUUUUGGCACAAAAAAAUUGAUAAUUUUUCUCCCCUCAUGUUUUUCUUGCUACUUAAAUUUAAUAGUAUUAUUUUUUUUUCAUUUUGUGAUUCAAACUUUACUAUAAAAGGGCAGUGCUAUGGAUUAUUUUGAGCAGAGGCAGAAGAUAAUUAGCCAUGGCUUCUAUAUCAUCACAUCCAUCCUUCUCGUCCCUCCUCAGUUUCUCUGCAUCCUUUUCCAUUCCUUCCAUGUUUCCAACGUCUCAAAAACCAUGCCAACCUAGCAAACCAAAACGUGGUCGUCAUGCUUCAAAAGUUGCAUGCAAUGGUAACCCUAACCCUAGAAAUAGGAGGGACAUUUUGAUUGGCCUUGGAGGACUUUAUGGUGCUACUACUCUUAGUGGUAACAGCACCGGUUCAGCCUUUGGUGCUCCGGUGUCUCCUCCAGACCCAACUAACUGUGUUCCGCCACUAUUGCCGGGCGAAAAUGAUGUCAAUUGUUGCCCUCCAUCCCCAAUCGUAGACUUCGAGUUCCCUUCACACAAAAGACUUCGACAUAGACGACCUGCACAAUGGGUCGAUGAUGAUUACCUAAACAAGUACAAGGAAGCCGUUAGGCUCAUGAGAGCCCUUCCACUUGAUGAUCCUCGAAAUUUCAUGCAACAGGCAAAAAUUCAUUGUGCUUACUGUCAUAAUGGCUAUCGCCAAAAAGGUUUCCCUGAUCAUAAUCUCCAAGUCCACGGCAAUUGGCUAUUCGCCCCCUUCCAUCGUUGGUACCUCUACUUCCAUGAGAGAAUCUUGGGGAGCUUGAUCGGUGACCCAACUUUUGCUCUUCCAUUUUGGAACUGGGACAAUCCCCCAGGCAUGGCAAUGCCAGCCAUUUACACUGAUGAAAAUUCCCCUCUCUAUGACCCUUUCAGGAAUGCCCUCCAUCAACCACCAGUUAUUGUAGACCUAGCCAACGAGGCCAAUAUUCUUGACCCAAGUAAGCAAAUCGUGAACAACGAAAUUACAAUGUUCAGGCAUGUUGUUAUUGAGGGGAUAAGCCCUAGCCUCUUCCUCGGAAAACCCUACUAUGCUGGAUGUGAGCCAAAUAACCCUGGUGCUGGCUCUCUAGAAAAAGGUCCGCACAAUAAUGUCCACAGAUGGACUGGUGAUCCCACACAACCUCAUAGGAUCGACAUGGGGUAUUUGGCUUGGGCUGCAAGAGACCCCAUUUUCUUUGCUCACCAUUCAAACGUGGAUAGGAUAUGGAACAUAUGGAAAACAAUACCGGGAGGGUUUAGAAGAGAUUUCAACGAUGAUGAUUGGUUAGAGUCCAGCUUUCUCUUCUACGAUGAGAACAAGAACCUUGUGCGUGUGAAGAUCAAAGAUUGUCUUGACUCCAGAAAGUUGGGGUAUGAUUACGAAUAUGUUGAUGACACGCCAUGGCUGAAUGUUCGUCCUAGACCCAAAUAUGCGGUUCCUCUCCCCCUCCCGUUUCCACUUCCACAACCUUUGCCGUUCCCUCUCACUUUGAAUUCCAUUCAACGUACAACUGUGAAGAGGCCAAAGAAGGAGGAGUCAUGGAGCGAGGUAGAAAAGGCGGAGGUGUUAGUGAUGGAAGUUGAGUAUGAUAUGACUGAGGAUGUGAAAUUUGAUGUGUUUAUCAACGACCAAGGUGACGAUGAGAUAGGACCCGAGGAUUCGGAGUUUGCGGGAAGCUUUAUGACCUUGGCUCAUUCGCAUGGGCACCAAAGCAAGAGGACAACAACUUCUCUUAGAUUGGCAAUAACGGAUCUGUUGAAAGAUUUGCAUGCACUGGACGAUGAAAGUAUUGCGGUCACACUGGCUCCAAGAUAUGGGAACAAGCCUGUCACAAUUAAGGGCAUAAAGAUAAAGCUUGUCCCUCUGGUGGAGUAUGUUAAUGUAUAACAAUAUUCAGCAGCUUAAUUAUGUGUGGUGUGAGACCUUUUUUUUUCUUUUCCUUUUCUUUUGAAGCUUCGGUUUGUUGUUUUGUGAGGGAAUGCGGUUUGUGAUCCUGCCAUCUGCUAUGUGACAGAUUUUAUCACAUGUAAAUUGGCUAGGCAACAAUUCCAUAUGUCAUGUUUCUUAUUGCAACUAAAUCCAUGUCAAAUACUAUUGCAGAUGCUUUUCUUUUCUACCUUAGAGUCCCGCGUAGCUAGAAAUACAUGAGGGGAGAAAAAUUAUCAAUUUUUUUGUGCCAAAACAAUUUCAUGCUAAACACAUUUAUUUAGUGGAUAACAUGCCUCGCCACGUAACUUUGACCCCCAGAUGAUAAUGAUUCAACAUGAAAUUGUUGUGCAACAAUCAAAUAAUUAUUAUAUGGUUAAAAUAGUAAUAAAGAUUUAUAAAAUUAAUAAUUUUGCAGACUAUAUAUCAUAAAUAUUAUAAUAAAUAAAUUAUAUCUAUGUCUACUGUAUAUUAUCAAUAUUAACAUAUAAAUCAUUAUAAAAUAUAAUACAAAAUUAUUUAAAUAUUUUGCACAAAUAACAAUAGUGUGUAAAUUUUUUGGCACCAAGAAAGUAGUAUAACUCUAGCGGAAUAGGGGAUGCUUCUAAAUACAGUGAUCCACCUAACUUUUGGAUCUUCGAUGGAGCAUGCUUUUUAUUUUUACGUUGUGGUCGGUUUUUCCGACUGGGUAGUCUACUAUAAUUCUGUCACAAUUGUUAUGAAAACAAAUAAAAGAAAAGAAAUCACGUCUCCCAUCGGUGUAUAAUUCCAAAAUAACUAGUGACAUGGAUUUUUUUUUCAUCCAUUUUAUUUUGUCUCACAACUCGAAACUUUUAAGGGUUAUGUUGCACAAUUUAAAAGUAACAAGGUUUAUAUAUUAGUUACUGAUUAUUAAAGUAUACCAACGCGCGCAGUGUGAUAUAAUAUAUAGAAGAAUAAUCCUUAAAUUUAGGUCCACAUAUGAAAAAACAUGUAUCGAAAAAUGUUAGACGAUCCUUACAUAUUAACGGUUUCAAGAAAUUAUUUUUAUUAUAAUAAGCAUUUUCUUACGUCUAGAAAUAUCAUCACUAGUUUAUUAGCGACUCGAAUAUUAGUAUGGAUAAGGAACCAAUAAAAAUAUUGUCACUAAUUAUCUUUAGUGAUGAAUUUUUAAUUUUUAGUAACGAAUGUCAUCAUCACACACACAAAAAAAAACACUAUUUCUUGCAGUUGUAGAAUAGUAUGCUGAAUUGGAAUUUUUUGCACAAGACUUUCACAUAUGAGAGGGCACGACAAAAAACCGCAUCCCCUGGCAGCAAACAACCCAAAAAGGAGGCUCAAAAGAAAGAGAAAUCAUCCUGUUUUAGAAGUUAGUAUUUUUUUAUUUUAUUUAUAUAAAUUUAUUUUUUUUAAUUUUAUUUUAUGUAAAUUUAUUUUAUUUUUUAAUUUUGAUUCAUGUAUGAUAUUUUUUUAAUUUUUUAAUUUUUGUAAAUUUAGGAUUUUCUAAUUUUGAUCUCAAUAAGAUUUCAAUUUUCUCAUUUAUAGUGUUAAUAAAUUUGAGUUUAUAAGGAUCAAAAUUAAAAAAGUAUAAAUUUAAAAAGAUUAAAAAAGUAAAAUAUCUUAUAAAAAUUAAAAUUAAAAGUGUAAAUUUACAAGAAUAAAAUUUAAAAAAAAAUACUAACUUAGACGGAGAAAAACAUAUUAAUUUAAGGCAUCCAAGGAAGCAAUAAAUAUAAAUAUGAAUAAGAAGGGCCAGGAGGUAGCAGCAGUACUAGUGAGAAUAAAUAUGUAUGAUAUCCCCCAGAAAAGCAUGCAACGGGGAGCACAUCAUAAAAUGUUCCAGUCCAUUAAACCUCACACUGAGCCACUACUCAUGCUUCACCAGAUGCACUCUAACUUCCUCCUGUGUCUCUGUUGCUUCAAUAACUACCAACAAGACAAAACAUAGUUAGGAGAGGGGUACAGAAUUUAAUAAAACAUUUUGUAAACAAUCCAAUUUUAUUCGUUACUUUUUAACAAUUUUUCUUAAAAACACUUCACUUGACUUUUAUUCGUUACAAAUAAUUUAAAUUUUCUUACUUUUUAACAAUUAAUUGAUCAAUUUUUUUUACCAAUUGUAUUAAGUUGAAUUUUAUUCUUUACAAAUAAUUAAAUUAAAUAUAUAUUUCUGUGUCACGUAUCUUGUUAUGUUCUAUCAUAUCCCAGCCUUUUAGUUUCUUCUUAAACUAAUAACUCCAACUGUACAUGAUUAAUGAAUCUUAAAUUAUUUGUUUUAUUUUUAAUAAUGUAAUACAGAAAAUAGUACUCUUUGCACUCUAAGGAGUCUUUAUAUAUUUGUUAACUAAUUACAAAUUCACAUGUAUAUAAGGUGGUUAAAUUUUAAAGAAAAUCAUCUUCAAAUUCAUACCUACAAUGAUUUUGUAGUGAUGAUUAGUUAAUUGUGAUUAUUAAGUUCUGUAAAAAAAUUGAGACUAUUAUUGUUUACAAUUAAAAAAAUAGUGUUAUUCGUAUCCAUUAGAGUUGUGCCAAACAUAUUGUACUUUUUGGAUAAAAAACAAAUUAUUGUAGUCUUUUGGAACUUUAUAAAUAUGUGACUUUCUUUUGUAUGAAGAUCUUGUUAUUUCUUUAAUUAUGACUUACGUCUCUCUCUUUUUUUUUUUAAAAAAAAAGCAAAGAUUAAUAUACUUAUAGAGUUUCUAAGAUGUCUCCAAUAAUUUUGGAAAUUUUGAUACUAUUAGUUUUUUACCAAUUAAAUUACAUGUCAUAUUCUCAUUAAUUAUUUUUUUUGUUUUUUUAAAUUAGUCCUUGAUUAUUAUUUUUUAAAAUUGCAACUUUCUUAAAUAAGAAAAUAUGAUUCAAGAUAACUUUAAAAGUUUAAACCCUAAAAUCUUUUUAAUUACUUUUAACACUUUUUAUAAAAAAAAUAUCAAUAUUGUUUAUUUGAAAAUAUCAAUAUUUAAUGUUUUUUUUGUGGUAAUCCCAUCAGCAUUACUGUUUAACGAGUCUCUGUAUUGUUGUUCAUUCGUUCUCUUUCUAUACUAUGUUAAUUUUAUACUAUGUUAAUUAUAAAAUGGUUUCAAAAUCAUUGUUACAAUUUUUUUAUACACUGUGAGAAACUAGAAAAACUGUGAAUUUUGUCCUUCCCUUUAGUGAAAUUAAUGCAUAGUCAAUUAUGUGUAAAUUAAUAAAAACAUCAUUAAGGUUAAAGAAAAGGAUAAAGAAGAAUACUCAUAUGAAUAUUCUGGUCUUAUAUUUUUUUAAAAAAAAUUAUAAAAAGUGUUGAAAGUAACUAAAAGGAUUUUAGGAUUCAGAUAUCUAAAGUUAUCUUUAAUCAUAUUAUCUAAUUUUAAAAAGUUACAAUGUUAAAAUUUUAAAAAAUAAUAAUCAGGGAUUAAUUUGAAAAAAAAAAUCCAUAGAAAGAUGACAUAUAAAUUUAUUGGUAAAAAAUUAACAGUAUCAAAAUCCCUAAAAUUAUUGAAGCACCUUAGAAAGAAUUUAUCAACUGCAUACCCUUUUUUUUUCAGCAAAACAAAAUACUUUAUAAGUAUAUGAUGGACAUAAGAAUACCGUAUGGUACAAAAAAAAAAAAAACUGGUAGAUUUUGAACAACCUCCCUGUCUCCGCCAGCCUGUGGUGGUUAAUUAGUUAGUAUUUAUGAUAUGAACCAGAAAUAUUUAAUAACCAUCAAUACCUCCAAGUAAACUACACACUCAACCAAUCAAGAAAGCAAACUCCCCUUUUCUUAUUUAAACCUGAGCUAUAAAAAAAGAAUUGGAAAAAAUACGGGUAUAAAUACUGAGGCAUUGGCAUAACAUACCAAUCUAACUAAAAGUAUGAUACCACGACCUAGCUAGAGGCAACAAUGCAGUGAACAUACAAGUGUAUGUAUAGUUGUAGAAUCAUCAAUAGAAGUGAACAUAUUCACUAACAUGGGUGGCAAAGCAUUUCUUCGAACCAAAUUAUCUUUCUUCGUAGGUUGGUUAACUAAUAGUUAAACUAUUCUUUUCAAUUAAUAUAUAUUAAUUAAAAGGAGAUUAGGAGUUAUAUUGUAUUAUAAACAAAUGUAACAAUAAAACAAACAAUUUAACAAACAUUUAUUAUAACAAUAACAUAGUAUCCCUCAACAAAGAUGGAAGGGAUCUAUUAAGUUCCAAGAAAAAUAACUACAGCAUACUAAUUAAGAAACAACAAAUGACAGAUAGAGUAUCCCUGGAGGAACAAACCCUAGUAGUAGCACACACAUAAUUUAGAUUUAUUCAUCGUCCACCUCAGGAUAAACACGCUUAAUCUAUCCUUACGUCCUUAAUUGUAACAGGCUUGUUCCCAUAUAUGGGAGCCAGUGUGACAGAAAUACUAUCAUCGUCUUUUGUUACUCCAAGUCUGAAAGAAGCUUUGGUGAUGUUGUUGUGGUUGACAUGCGGCGAGUGAGGCAAAGUCACAAAGCUUCCCGCAAACUCUGAAUCUUGGGGUCCAAUCUCAUUGUCGCCUUGGUCGUUGAUGAACACAUCAAACCUCACACCAUCAGUACUAUCAUACUCAACAUCUAUCACUAACACCUCUUCUACGCCUUCUUCUUCUUCUUCAUUCUCGUUCCUAGAGCGCGGCUUCGGCCUCUUCACGAUUGUAGGAAAAAGUUAAUGUAUAAAAAUUAUUAUUAAUACUUAAGCAAAUUGUUUAAAAUAAUAAUAAUAAUAAUAAUAAAUAUUACUUUCAAUUUAUAUGUUGUUUUGUGCUCGUACACUUAAAAUUCUUAAUCAUUAAGAAACAAAUAACUUUAAAGAAUAACUAAAAAUAUUAUAAAUAAUCUUAUUAAAAUCUUAAAAUAUAAAUAAUAUAUGUAUAAAGAAAUUGCAAAAAAAAAAAAAUUGGUUAGAGGACCAUGCCCCCUAUGUCCCAAUGAAGAUCCGUCAAUUGUUAGGGAUUUUAUAAUUCCUAAUUAAUUAAUAUGGAUUACAUAUUAUAUUAUAACAUUUAUAUUAGUUAUUUACAUUUAAAUGAGUUCAAUAUAAAGUGAUCUAUUUAAGUGAGCCCAUUAGACUGUCAAUAGAUAAUUGAUAUGAGAAUAGGUUUAAAACAUAAGGCAUGGUUAUGAUCCCCAAUACACCAAAUCAAUAAACAGUUUCUCCUCUCCCCAUCUGAAGAGAAAACGAAGGUUUCAUAAGGAAGAAUGUGAUUUGGUUGAAGAAGGUCAUUAAACCAGUUGUUCGUGACCACUGUCAGAUUUCGCUGCGUGAUAAUCAAGCUCCAUGGAUCCAAGUAUUCCUUAAAACCUCUUGAUAAUCUGACGUAAUAUGUUAUGAUGUUCAUUUUGUAUUUUAUAAGGUUUAUUGAAAAUUCACAACAUCAAUGACUACCAGAAUUAAGAAUGAUUAUUAUCUGCCAUCAUGACUGUAAUCUCUGCAGUCACCUCUAUCAACGAUAAAUAAUAUUUAUAUUGGUAUCCGAUCAAAAUAUGUAUUUUUUGUCAAAAUCAGAAUGAAUACUUGCAUGUAUGCAGAUUCUUAUCAUCCCUACUCAUGACAUUUGUAUUAGUAGGUAUUUUAAUUGUGAAUGAGACUUGACGAAUUUAAGUUAUCUAUCUCCACCUAAAGGUUCUAAAGUAAUGUGAGUUUCCAAGGACUAAACAAGGGUCUGAAUUGUCUCAUUAUUAGUUUUGGCACAAUGUCAUUUUUCUUGCCUAACACUACACAUACGGGUUUGGCAUGCUAUUUAAAUAUUGAUCUAGAUUUGUGGGCUUUACUUCACGUUUUAAUGGAGAUCUAGAUUGGAAUUUUCAAACUCCAAACAAAACUUAAGCUAUAUAUAUAUAUAUAUAUAUAUUUUGAUGGAGGGGAGAUCCAAUUAAAAACGGUUAGUCAAAUUUUUUUACAAAAUUAAUUAAUACUUGGUACUAAUAACAUAUGGUAACAAAAAUAAUCUAAAAAACUCAAGAUACAUGGAGAAAUCAUGGAAUUAAUCUUUAAACACGAGAUUCAUUACUUAGAGAUUGAUUUAGACUAGAUUUUUUUAGUUAAAUUAGUUGCUACAUCAAUUAAGAGUAACGUCACAAAAACAGUCAACAUAAAAUUGGUCACUAGUCAAUCAUUAUGAAAGUGGUUUUUAGUUUGGUCACUACCCAUCAGUCACUAAAUAACUUUUAUAACAUGAGUCAUCAAAUUAGUCUCUAUAAUUUGAGUAACUACAUUAAUUGUAAUAAAACUAGUCAUUUAAUUGGUUUUUAAAUCAGUGUCUAAAUUGGAAUCUACACUCAGCGACCAAAAAUUUAGCUGCUCGCUAAAAUUGGUAUCUUAUUUGGUCACUAACUGAUUAACGACCAACUUUGUAAAAUUAGAGACCAAUAUUCUGUCACUAAGAACCAUUUUUCUUGAAGUAGGGAAUAUUGGAGAUACUUCUGAUUUCCAUUGAGCAACAUAUUAACAAUCAACACACAUAAUAAUAUAAAAUUAGCAUUUAUUUUAAUGAUAUUAAAAUAUUUUAAUCAAACAUUAGUGACAAAAUUGUAAUUUUCAAAUAAAUUACUUCAACUUUAGAUAGUCAUGGAUGGAGUUGAACUUUAAAAAUUAUUGACUACGUAUAUAUAAUCUCAUAAAUGUAUAAUAGAAAAAUAUGUAUAUACAGUAAACAAAAAAGAAACAUAUGUAUAUAAAUAACACAAGUAUUUAUAAAUAAAAUAAAAUGGGCAUAUGUAAGUACGUAACUAACUGUAUUUAUAAUCAACUAACAACAAAUAUAUAACUAACAGCAGAAUAAAUAAAUGGUAAAAAAAGUUACUGUAGUGUAGUAGAGAUUUAUAUGUGGAAAAAUAAAAGAAGUGUUUUUUUUAGAAUUAAAUAAAGAAGUUAAAAACCAAGCAUAUAACUAAAUAAAAAUUAAAUACAGUAAUUCAAAUAGUAAAAAAUAAAAUACAAACAGAAUACAGAGUUUUUAUACGGUUAGAGAUAUAAUGGAAUUAAAACAAGAUAACUUAUUGAAGAUAAAUAGUAACAAGAAGCAAAGAGAUGGUGAUGGGUUAGUAAUGAUUAAAAGUUACGUAGGUACAGGGAUUAGAAUUGAUUAUUUUUUUUUGGAUUAGAAUUUAUUUAACUUUUCGUUAAGAAUUGAAGAGCAAAAUAGUAACGUUUUUAAAUUAAUAGAAUGACAAUAAUAAUUAAGGGGAAAAUAAAAUAAACAAUAUGAUGCUAGGAACACAUUACUUAACACCCAUGGUUAUACUUUUAUGUUGAGAGUUAUGAUAUAUGUCUUCUCUCCUUACUCUGGAAAAUCUGAUUUUAGUAAAAGAAGAAGGAAAGAAGUGAGUUUUAGGUUUGUGGACCACUAGGUUUUGGUAGCCAGGGUACGAAUUUAUGAUGAGUGGUGACUAACCUAAUACCCUUCAUGCAAAACAUGGUUGUGACACCUUGCAAGCCUAGGGACGUGCUUAGGUUAUCAUUUGUCCUAGUUGAAUUUUAAUUGAUCUUUGAUUUAGUUCAGUUCAAUUCCAACUAGUUUAAUUAUCUUAGCUUUAGUUAGUUUUUGUUGAGUUUAGUUUGUUUGGAAAAGAAAAAAAAAUGGUUUUUUACUAGAUACAUGUGCUAAAAAUAAAAAAAAAAAAAUUUAAAAUUUCAAUAAAUAUAGUUGGACACCCCAAAUCCUAUGCAACACACCUAGUGAGAGAGAGAAAAAUAUUGAGAUAAUAUAUGAUAUGAUAAAAAGAAAAAGAUAAAAAAAAAUAAAAGAUAUUGACAAUGUGUUUAAAAUAAAGGAUAUGCAAAUAUCAUUGUUAAAAAAAAAAUAUUCAACGUAUUCAUAGUAAAAGGUAGAGUUCCUAGUACUUAUUAAAAGAAUGAGGACACAAUAACCUCUUUUCUUCAAUUUGGCUCAAGUAUAAUUUUGGACUCUCAAAUUUAGAUCAGUUUUGUUCUUGUCCUCCAAAUUUAGAUUUGUUCUUUUUUUUUUCUCUUAGAAUUAGAAGAAUGCUAAUAUUAAACUCUUUCUUGGUUCUUAGGAAUACUAUUGAUUCUAGUUUUAAAUUUUCUAAUUCAAAGUAACAAAUUUUCCUCACUUAUCAAUCUCUAGCGAUUGCGGCAUUGUUUUAUUGAGUUCUUGUCUCAAUCCAUUUUUAUUUUGUCUUCAAAUUUUUCCUUGAAUUUUCUACUUUUUGGGAUGUAUGCUGAAUUUUGAUCCAUAAAAAAGAAUUUUUCAUUGGUUAUAUAUAUAGAGAGAGAAAACUAUUUUUGUGAGAAUAUGUGCAUAUAUAAAAACACGAGAGCAACAAAUUAUAAUCCUCGGAUUAAAUUUAAUGGUCUAGAUUAGAACCCAAAUUAAAAAACGGCACGGCCCCAUUCUCCUUUAAGUUUGCCUAUUAUCUCCUCCUUCCAGUUCACGUUCUCUUGCUUUCAUUGUGUGUUAAUGCUUAAUACUGCAACUAGUUGGCUUAGAGGGGAUGCUCUCUUCCCUGCACUAUGCGCCAAUUCUUCUACCACAAAAGCGAUUGCUGGAAUCAAAUUUUACACCCUUUCUCUACUCAUCAUGUCACACACCCUUUCUGUUCGUAACGUCGCACGCAAGAGAAGGGGAAAAGACACUUGAACCUAAUUCCUAUAUUCUCUUUCUAACGUCGCACCAUUCCUGUUUUCUUCGUCAAUUGUUUUUCAUCUCUCAAAGUGCGAUCUUUUUUCUUUGCAUAUUAACGUGAUGGAUAUUGCACCAAUUUGACUCCAAUAAUCGAUUUCAGAAUUGGCGAGGGUAGGGGAGUGAGCGUCCUGUUUCACGAAAGAUAGCAUCCUAUUUCAGCAGACAACGUUAACAAACUAUAUUGCUGGCAACAUGAGAAACGAGGCACGUGCUUUUUUGUAUUUGGAUUAAUCUUGACCAUAAAAUUUAAUCUGAGGGUUAUAAUUUGAUGUUCUCAUAUAAGCAACUUGCACUAUAUACAUACAUACAUAUAUAUAUAUAUAUAUAUAUAUAUAUAUAUAUAUAUAUAUAUAUAUAUAUAUAUAUAUAUAUAUAUAUAUUUCAAGUGGAUAUUUUAAUUAUUUACAAGAAAUUCGUUAUACACGAAACGGGAGAGAAUAAAAUUGAAAAAAAUAAAUAUUAUACAUUGGAUCAAACAUUUGUUAAGCUCUAUAACAACAACAAACGAAAUAUAUUCAAUAAAAUUUUCUUUGCCAGUAAAAGUGCCAUAAUUAAGUCGUAUAUGACAGUGACAUAUUUCCACUCCUCCUUUUCAAACUCUAUCUUUAUGCCUUGAAUUGUGAUGGUGACAUUCUCACAUCGUGGUACCAACGUGACCAAAAUACUAUCAUCAUUUUCAGCAUCCAAGUCUGUUACUCCUAUUGUCAAGCUAGUUUUGAUCUUCUUGUCCAUGUUCAUGUUCGAAUGGGAAUGACCCAAAGUAGCAAAGAUUCCUGCAAACUCCGUCCUCUUUGGUCCAAUCUCCUCCACAUCUUCAUCAGUAAUAUACACAUCAAACUUCACAUCAGUAUCCCCAUCAAACUCAAUCCCAUCAAUCACCAACACUGCUUCCUCUUCCUCUUUCUCCCUCUUGCUCCUCAACUUCUUUGGCCUUUUAACAAGUAGGGUUACCUUUGAGUCCAACAAAGUGAUAGGAAACUUGGCACUUGGCUUAGGCUAAGCCGCCAUUGCUGCACCAAUCCCAGACUGUUGUACGAACGCCACCUUCUUAGCUUUUCUAGUUAUUUUGGGUUUAGUCUUUUUCUUGAGCCAUAGAAUGUCAACAUCUUGGUAGAUGUACCGCAUCUUUUUCGAGUCGAGGGAGUCUUUCACCUUCACCCGCACAAGGUUCUUGUUCUCAUCGUAGAAGAAAAAGGUGGUUUCCAACCAAUCGCGGUUUUUUAUGUCCCUUCUUUUUCCACAUGGUAUUGUUUUCCAUAUGUUCCAUAUCCAAUCCACAUUGGCAUGGUGAGAAUAGAAAACAGGGUCUCUUCCAGCAGAAUAUAAAAUCUCCCCAUGUCCUCUUUGUUAGGUUGUUUUGGAUCAAUAGUGAAAGAAAAAGAGGGUUCAAAACACGCAAGCACAGCGACAGACUAAAAAAAAUUAUUUUACAUUUAAAUUAUAUAUUGAAGUAGACCACAUUUCUUUAAUAAUGUAAAGAUUCUAUGUGUAUUUACAUUAAGACAUCAAUUAUUUGAUGAAUGAAACUUUAAAUAGUAAAAAACAUUUAUACUGUUUAAAAUUGGCUUAAACUUUAUUAGUGUAUUUCUGGUGCAUUUUGCUUUCAGCUAAAUGCUUUUAUUUUCAAAAAAGAGAGAUCAACAACUUUGGCCUUUUAACAAGUGUGGAUACCUUUGAAUUCAAAGUGAGAGGAAACUUGACGCUUGGCCUAGCUUCAGCGGCCUGUGCUGCACCAACACCAAAAUGUUGUGCAUGCCACCUUCUUAGCUUUUCUAGAUUUUUUGGGUUUUGGCUUUUUGUUGAGCCAUGGAAUGUCAACAUCCUGGUAAACGUACCCUAGUUUUUUGGUGUCGAGGCUAUCUUUUAUCGUCACACGCACACGGUUCUUGUUCUCAUCGUAGAAGUAAAACGCGGUUUCUAACCAAUCAGGGUCAGUGAAUCCCUUCUUUUCCCACCUUUGAUUGUUUUCGAAAUGUUCAACAUCCUAUCCACAUUGGCAUGGUGAGAAUAGAAAAUGGGGUCUCUUCCAGCAGAAUAGAAUCUUCCCAUGUCCUCACCGUUAGGUUGAUUUCUAUCGCCAGUCCAAAUGUGCCCAGGAGUGUGAGGAACACUCUCUACAGAACCAGCACUAUUAUUAGGCUCCUCUCCAGGAUGGAAAGGUUUUCCGAGGAAGACUGAUGGGGUUUACCCAAAAGAAACAACACUCUUAUACACUACACAGAGGUUGUUUUCUACACUUGCACUGCCGUCAUUGUUUUUGCUAUAGUUUAGGUCUACGAGAGUAGGGGGUUGGUGGAUUUUAUCCCUGAAACAGUCAUAAAGAGGGGAUUUUUCAUUUGUGUAAAUGGGAGGGAUUACCAUGCCACAUCAGGGUUGUUCCAGUUCCAAAACCUAAGAGCAAAGGUUGGGUCAUCGAUCAAUUUCCCCAAGAUUUUCUCAUAGAAAUAAAGGUACCAACGGUGGAAAGGGAAGAAUAGCCACGAGUUGUGGACUUUGAAGUCGAGCUUAGGGAACUCAACUUGUUUAUAGCCACCAUCACAGUAUGCACAAUGGAUGUUUGCUUGUUGUAUGAAACUUCGAGGAUCAUCAGGUGGAAGGGCUUUCAUGCGCGUAAGGGCUUUCUCAUACUUCUCUAGAUAGUCUUUGUUGAAGAAUUGAGCAGCUGAUCUAACCCUAACGGGUGUUCCUGGAGGAAGGAACCUGAAUUCUACAGGCUUGGAAGAAGGUUAUGGUGGGCAACAAUUGAGUUGUUUCUCAAUCCCCCUGGUACAUCAUCGAUUUCAACACAAUUUUCUAGUUUGGGUGGUUGAAAUGGAGCAGCGAUGGCUAAAGGGUUGUUGAUGUUGUUGCUAAGAGUAGAAGCAUCGUAAAUGCCUCCGCCAAGGAGAACAUGCCUCCUAUGUUUUCCUAGAAUAUUGUUGUGUGAUGAUGGUUUUCUUUUUCUGGGUACUGUUUUGUUUAAUGUUGCAUGACACUUUGGAAAUUACGAGAUGAUCAUUGAGGUUUUUUGGUUUGCUACGUUUGGUGGGUUUGCAUGGUAUUUGGAAGGUGGAAGAUGAGGAAUAAAAGGGAAUGGGAAGGGGUGGAGGAUAUAGAGAGGGAAUAGAAGCCAUGAUAUUAUUCGUUUGUUAUUCGAUCUUCUUUUGGCUCAUAAUGAUGAUAUCUACCAUCUUGCCCUUUUAUAGUAAUGAUCUUCCUUUGGCUUAUGAUUAAAAUUGAUCAAGUAAUGAUCCUUAUUAGUGUGUAUACAGUAUUUAAUUUGCACUGGCUCAUUGUUCCUUUUUAAGUUAUUUUUUCUGAUUGAGUGGUAAUCCCUAAGCAGAUUUUUCACAUAUGGAUUAAUUUGAUCCGUAUGAAAUACAGAUGAAAUUAAUCUAUAAGUAUGAAAUUCAUUUGUAUAAAACAUACGGAUCAAGUUGAUCUGUAUGAUUUAUAUAGAUGAAGUUUAUCCGUAUAAAAUAUACGGAUCAAUUUCAUCUGUAUGGUUUAUACGAAUGAAGUUUAUUCGUAUAAAACAUACGGAUAAACUUCAUCUGUUUAAACCAUACGGAUGAAGUUCAUCUUUAUUAAUUUUUUGGUUUUUUUUUUAAUUUCUUAAAGUUUUAUUUUUUAAAUUAUUAAUAUGUUAAAUUACUCAUUUGUGUAUUAAAUUUUUUUUACUAUUACAAAAUUUAAUAUAUAUUAAAUUUUGUAAUAGUAAAUAUUUUUUAUUUAUAAAAAAAUAUACGGAUUAAAUAAUUUGUAUGAUUUAUAUCAAAAUUAAUUGUCAUAAAAUUUAUUAUUUAAAUUUACAUGCACAUUAAAUAUAUAUUAAAAAUUUUAGUGUUAUGUAUAACAAUAUUAUUUAUUUUAUAAUGUAAUUAGUUCAUUAGUUCAAUUGGUUAAAGUAUUGUGUUAAUAACUUGAAAGUCACAAGUUUUAUUCUUAUUUUGAUCAUUAAUUUUAAAUUAAUUCAUCACAAAUAUUUUUCAAAAAAUGGAAUUAAAUAAGUAACCACUUUAAUAUCCUGUAUAAAAAUAUAAUAAAAAAAGUAGCCACUUAAUAGAAGGGACGUGAAACAUCCUAACCUUCUCAAUCUCAAUUUCUCUCCGCCCUUCCAAAACCUCUUACCUCUUCAUUAAAAAAUUUCAUCCUGAAAUACUAGUGCUUCUUUUUAAUUAAGAAUUAGGCAUAUACAAAGUAAUUCCUUUUCUUAAACAAUUUGUCAGAUGAUUUAAUUUGUAUUUAUGCAGUUUUAUGAUAACCUUAUCAUCUUAUUAAUUUCUUUUAUAGUAUGAAGUAUGAUUCUAUGGCAAAAUGAACUUUUGUUUAGAUAGUGUUAACCAAAACCACUUUUAAGGUAUAAAUAAAUAUUAUUGAAAUGAUAUAUAAUAUUAAGUUAUGAAAACACACACACACACACAUAUAUAUAUAUAUAUAUAUAUAUAUAUAUAUAUAUAUAUCUCAAGUGGGCAUUUUGGUUAUUUAUAUGAAAUUUGUUGGACAGUAAAAAAAAAAUAUAAGAAAUUCGUUAUACACGUUACGAGAAAAAAAUGAAAAAAAUAAAUAUUCUACUUUGGAUCAAACCAUUUGUUAAUUACUAUGCCAACAACAAACGAAACAUACAAUAAAAAUUUUCUUUGGCAAUAAAACAACAAAUAUUACUUUUGCCAUUGAGUAAUGGAAACGUGAUUUAUUUAUUUUUCUCUUAAAUUGCUAAACAUGGUGAUAUGAAUUUAAACUCAUUUGCAUGUUGGAAACACCUAGCCAAGCAUGCAAUAAUUAAGUAGUAAUUUGCCAGUGACAUAUUUUCACUCCUCCUUCUCAAACUCUAUCUUGAUGCUCUGAAUUGUGAUGGUUACAUUCUCAGAUCGUGGUACCAAUGUCACCAAAAUACUAUCAUCAUUUUCGGCAUCCAAGUCCUCUAACAAAUCCGUUAUUCCCAAUGUCAAACUAGUUUUGAUCUUCUUGUCCAUGUUCAUGUUUGAAUGGGAAUGACCCAGAGUCGCAAAGCUUCCAGCAAACUCCGUGUUCUCUGGUCCAAUCUCCUCGACAUCUUCAUCAGUAAUAUAUACAUCAAACUUGACAUCAUUAUCCCCAUCAAACUCGAUCCCAUCAAUCACCAACACUUCUUCCUGUUCCUCCUUGUCCUUCUUGCUCCUCAACUGCUUUGGCCUUUUAACAAGUAGAGUUACCUUUGAGUCCAAUAAAGUGAGAGGAAACUUGGAACUUGGGCCAGUCUCAGCAGCCAUUGCUUCACGAAUGCCGCCAAACUGUUGUGUGAACGCCACUUGCUUAGCUUUUCUAGUUCUUUUGGGUUUAGUCCUUUUCUGGAGCCAUGGAAUGUCAACAUCUUGGUAAACAUACCCCAUCUUUUUCAAGUCAAGGGAAUCUUUCACUUUCACACUCACAAGGUUCUUGUUCUCAUCGUAGAAGAAAAAGGUGGUUUCCAACCAAUCACGGUUUUUGAAAUCCCUUCUUUUUCUAGUUGGUAUUUUUUUCCAUAUGUUCCACAUCCUAUCGACGUUGGCAUGGUGAGAAUAGAAAAUGGGGUCUCUUGCAGCAGAAUAGAAUCUCCCCAUGUCCUCUUUGUUAGGCUGUCUUGGAUCACCGGUCCAACGGUGGAGAGCAGUAUGAGGACCAAGCUCUACAGUCCCUCCACCGAGUUCAGGCUGCUUUCCAGCAAAGAAAGUUUUUCCAUGGAAGAGCGAUGCGCGUUUCGCACCAAAGACAAUGUUAGGUACAGGAAGGGGAAGAUUCGUGAGAGAGAAGAUGAUGGUUGCCUUGAUUCGAGGUUAAGGUUCCUCCUGAAGGAACUAGCUUUUAUUGAAAGGAUAUAUUUGCCUUACUCGUACCACUUUCAGGCUUUUAUACAUGCUACAAUGGUUACAACGAACAUCUAACGGCCCUAACUACCAAGCUGGAGUAGUUACAACUAACUAACAGAAAGCUAGCGUAUACAUGCAAGGGUUUCUAUACGUAACUUUCUAAGUAUCGGGGUCUCGUGGUAGCUUUUCGUGGUCGUGCUUCGUUGCUACUGGUAUCAUUGUUGUUAACGUUCCUAACAAUAUCCUCCCCUGGGAAAGUCACCUUGUCCUCAAGGUGAUGGGAGUCGUGGAUAUCAGCCCAAUCUUCCCACGUUGACUCUUCUGGUGCCAUCCCUUUCCAUUGUACCAGUACAAGUUUCCUGGGUGGUUGACUUGAAGUGUCCAUGCGCAAAUCCAGAACAGCUAAGGGUUCUAAGAUAGGAUUAUUGUGAGUUGCAGCUGGAGGAAGUGGGGUUGCUUGUAAGUCGUGUGGGCCAUGGUGAGACCGGAGCAAUGAACAGUGGAAGACAGGAUGGAUUUGACAUCCUUCAGGUAAUUGUAGACGAUAUGCAACGUUGCCGACGCGUUCUAGCACUCGAAAAGGUCCAAAGUAUCGUUUAGCAAGCUUGUUGGAGGUCUGAGUUCGUAGUGAACAUUGCCGAUAAGGUCGAAGCUUCACAUAUACCAGCUGAUCGACCUCGUAUUGAGCCUCGCAACGCGAUCUAUCGGCGUAGUGCUUCAUGGUGUCUUGUGCCUUGAGUAACUUGCGUCUGAGGGUGGCGUAGAUUUCUUCCCUCGUGGUGAGCAUGGCAUCAACUGCUUCGUUGUGGGAAGAACCUCGAAGGUAGUUGUGAAUCGAAGGAGGAGGUUUUCCAUAGACUACCUCAUAAGGGGUAAGCCCAGUGCCCGAGUGUUGCGAGGUAUUAUACGACCAUUCCAUCAAGGGUAAGAACUGGUACCAAGCUGUGGGUUGUUGAUGAACAAAGGCGCGUAGAUAUGUUUCGAGUGUGCAGUUUAGGACCUCUGUCUGACCAUCCGUUUGUGGAUGGUAGGCAGUACUCAUUCGAAGAGUGGUGCCACUCAUUCUGAACAAUUCUCUCCAAAAUGAGCUGAGGAAGACUAGAUCUCGGUCUGAGAUGAUACUUCGAGGAAAGCCAUGCAGGGUAGGGCGUCGUAACUGCAUUGAGAGCUCGGUAGUCAACACACAUGCGCCACGAUCCAUCUUUCUUCUUCACCAGUAAUACCGGAGAGGAAAAGGGGCUUUGACUUGGCCGUAUGAGCCCGAAAUUCAACAAUUCCGAUACUUGCUUCUCGAUUUCCGUCUUCUGAAAGUUUGGAUACCUGUAGGGCCUGACAUUCACGGGGUUGGUCACAGGGAGGAGGUUGAUAUGGUGGUCGUGGUGUCUAGGGGGAGGUAAUUCUGAAGGGGUGUGAAAGAUGGAGUGGUAGCGGAGUAGAAGCUUGUUAAUGGCAGGUAUGGGAUGUGGGGGGUCUGUGGUUGAUUCGAGUUGGUUCACAGGUAAGAGUGAAAUGUGGAAUAAGCCAGAAGUGGAGUUGGUGGAGAUCAUUUGUCUAACCUGGGUAGCAGAUGCUGGAGAGUUAUCGACAUAAACAUCGGCAUGAAGGUUGACUGGUUGAUCUUUGUAGACGAACUGCAUGGUAAAUGAUGAAUAGUCAUUGGUUAUGGGCCCUAAGGUACAAAGCCAUUCCACUUCGAGCACAAUAUCCGCCCCACUCAAUGGCAGCACCCGUAACGUGACCGUAAAGGUAUGCCCCUGCAUGAGAACUUGUGUAUCGGAGCACAGCUGGUGGCAUUGUAACACGGAACCAUUGCCCACCAUAACUCUGAGGGUUGUUGUCUCCUUCACAGGUAAGCUCAGGAAUUUUGCAACACGAGGUUGAACGAAAUUGUAAGUGCUUCCGCUGUCGACCAAUAUGGUGACGCGAGCACUGUUGAUCAACCCAUAUAAGCGAAAAGUGUCAGAGGCAAGGACACCAGCCAAUGCAUGAAGGCUAAUAUGGGGGUGGGGUGCGUUCGGGUCAAGAAAUGGGUUGGUUUCGUCCGGGGUGGGGUUAGGUUCAGUUGCUGGGAAGUGUGGGUAGUCUGUUGAGGGAGGUUCAGAUGUGGCGGGUUCAUCAAGGUCCGCGAUGAGGAGCAAGACUCGACCCUUGCAUCUAUGUGAUGAACUCCACUUUUCAUCACAAUUGUAACAUAGACCCAUUUCUCUUCUAAAUGUCAUUUCUUCCUGGAUUCUUUUGAUAAAUGGGGCCUUGGGUCGUGGUGCGAGAUGGGUGGGUGUGUGAGGUACAGGUGGGUUUGGUGGCGGAGAAGGCCCAAACGAGGCCUUGGAAGUGUGCUUCUUUCGAUCCAAUAGCUUGUCUUCCUACAGACAAGCGAGGGUUGUAGCUUGUGGUAAUGAAAUAGGCUAGAAGGCCUGCACUUCACGGCGGAUUUUCGGGUUGAGACCGGAGAUGAAACAGCUAAGCAAGACGGAGGGGGAGAGACCUGUGAUACGGUUGGCGAGUCUCUCAAACUCGAUGAGGUAGUCUGUCAAAGACCCGCGUUGAACAAGCUUGAACAAGGUUCCUCGUGGAUCAUCGUAGAACGAAGGUGCAAACCUUGCUUCGAUUGCUUGGAGAAGGGCUGGCCAAGACGUAAUGAAACCAUUCCUGAACAUCCAUUGAAACCAGCUGAGAACCGGUCUGUCGAGAUAAAAGGAGGCCACCAUGAUUCGAUCUUCCUCCGGGGUUCCCUGGUAGUCGAAGAAUUGUGAUACUUUGAAGAUCCAUCCUAGAGGAUUGUGGCCGUCAAAGCGGGGCACGUCGAGCUUGACGGGUGGCCGUGGAUGUGGAGAAGGUUGGGAAGGUGCUGGUGAGGCAGAGGUGAGGUGUGAGAGACGCUCGCACCAUGCUUCUAACUUAUUGGCCAAGUCGGAGUGUCUCUCGGAGAGGGCUGCUAUGGCUUCUUCAAGGCGGUCUGUGGUUGUGCGACGAGUGCCGUGCUCCGCCAUAGUAGCAGGUCGGACCAGUGUUAGGUACGGGAAGGGGAAGAUUCGUGAGAGAGAAGAUGAUGGUUGCCUUGAUUCGAUGUCAAGGUUCCUCCUGAAGGAACUAGCUUUUAUUGAAAGGAUAUAUCUGCCUUACUCGUAUCACUUUCAGGCUUUUAUACAUGCUACAAUGGCUACAACGAACAUCUAACGGCCCUAACUACCAAGUUGGAGUAGUUACAACUAACUAACAGAAAGCUAACGUAUACAUGCAAGGGUUUCUAUACGUAACUUUCUAAGUAUCAGGGUCUCAUGGUAGCUCUUUGUGGUCGUGCUUCGUUGCUACCGGUAUCAUUGUUGUUAACGUUCCUAACAGACAACACUCGUAUACAUUACACCAAGGUUUUGUUCUACACUUGGUUCCUUGCCACUGCCAUAGUUUAGGUCUACGAGAGUAUCAACUGUGAUGUCUGGAUUCCUGCGAGGGUCAUAAAGAGGGGAGUCUUCAUCUCUGUAAAUGGGAGGGAUUACCAUGCCGCCAUCAGGGUUGUCCCAGUUCCAAUAUGGAAGAGCGAAGGUUGGAUCAUCAAUCAAGCUCCCCAAGAUUCUCUCAUAGAAAUAGAGGUACCAACGGUGGAAAGGGAAGAACAGCCAAGAAAAGUGAACUUUGAAGUCUAGCUCAGUUGGGAACCCUAAUUGUUUAUAGCCACCAUCACAGUAAGCACAAUGGAUAUCAGCUUGUUGCUUGAACUUCGAGGAUCAUCAGAUGGAAGCUCUCUCAUGCGCUUAAGGGCUAACUUAUACUUUUCUAGGUACUCAUCAGUGACGAAUUGAGCAGGUGGUCUAACCCUAAGGGGUGUUCCUUUAGGCAACUUGAAAUCUAUUGAAGGGGAAGAAGAUCUUGGUGGGCAACAAUAGACUUGUGCCUCGAUGACCCCUUUAGGUGGUACAUCAUCAGUUAUACAACAAUGUUCUAGGUCAGGUUGGAGAAUAGGAGCUGCAGCCAUGGCUAAAGGGUUGGUGUUGCUAAGAGCAGAUGCACCGUAAAGGCCCCCAAUGCCAAGGAGAACAUCCCUUCUAUAUUUUCCUAGAAUGUUGUAUGAUGGUCUUUCUUCUUUUGGGUUUGGUGUUGGGGUGUUUUGGUUACUGUUGCAUGUCACUUUGGAAAAGUGGUGGCGUUUUGGUUUGCUACGUUUGGUGGGUUUGCAUGGUAUUUGGGAAGUUAGGAAGGUGGAAGAUGAAGAACAAAUGGAAAUGGGAAGAGGUGCAGAGAAAUUGAAGAGGGAGAAAGAGGAUAGACAGGAUAUAGAAGCCAUGAUCGAUCUUCUAUUGGCUCAUAAUGAUCGAUCUACAAUCUUUGCCCUUUUAUAGUGAAGUUAUAUGAAGACUGUCCUUUAUAAAUAAAUAAUGACAUUAACAUUCGGCAAAUUGGGAUUGAAAAAUUUCUUUAAAAUUUAAUUUAGAUUCUUUUUCAAAAAAUAUGAAAAUGUCCUUGAUUGAUUCACCAAAAUUGUGGCUGAAGAAAAUGUCGUGGGUCUGAAGAUAAUGUGGUAAAUAUAAUGGAACACUGAUUAUUUCAUUUGAUCCCUACUACGUACGAACCAAUUAAUUUCAUGCAAAUCUUUUCAAUAAUCUUCUAAAGAAUUAUGGUGCUUUAAAUGGUAACAAUGUGUCGUUUACUUUUAGGGUGACUUUAAUACAUAAAAUUAUAAAGUAAAACAAAUUGGUAUGAAUUUCAUCAUUUUAUUCUUUUUAAUUUUUAUUGUUUCACUCCUAUAAUAAUACCGAACACAGAGAAUAAAUUAGUGAUACAAACUCAUACCUUGACUUAGAAACUAGGGUUACGAAUUUCAUAAAAGUUUAUAAUAUUUCUUUUGUAAAAAUAUUAUAUAACUUUUUUCUUGUCCCCACUAAAUAAGCUUUUGGGAGUUUGUCCCCAUUAAUGUUAUAUAUUGCACCUUUGCUAACUACUAUGGAUUUUACAUGUCUCCCCUUUUUUCCUGCGAGCUAGGCUAUAUAUUGAGCAAUGAUGUAUUGUUAAAACAAAUGUCUAGUCUGAUCCUCAAAGCCUGAAGCGACUUCCAAUAUAUAUGCAUGGAUCUUGUUGCUGCAAUUUGGAUUCAAAUGUUUUUGCGUUAGGUCUUAACCAAGUUAUUUGUUAGAUCUCAAUCAAGAGAAGGUAGCUAUUUUGAAGGUUUAGAUCUUCUACAGUUAUAUUUUUAUUGUACAAGAUUUUUUUAAUAGACAAAUAAAAUAUAUAUUAUAUAAAUAGAAGAAUUCUGGCAGGAUCAUGAAUAAUUCCCCCACGACCCCACUAGACCCUUAAUUAACGGCAUUGGGAAAGAUUUUAGUCAUAGAAAUUAUUUAAUUUAAUUUAUUUUAUAAAACAAAUGUUUUAAAUAUAAAGUUUAAUGAUAUUAAUUUUAUACUGUUAUUUAAUUAUAAAUCCACAUUUUUUUAAGUUUAUGUUUAAAAUCAUGAAUAAAUGAGAUAAAUUUAAUUUAUUCUUGGAUGUUAAAUUUUAAUGAAGAGAAUUCAUUAUUCGUAUUUCACUCCCUACUUUGGAAAUGAGUGAUGAUGGAAGAGAACAGGUGGGUUGGAGAUAUUGUUUCUUGGUUUUGCGUGUAACAUGUUCCCACUUCUCUCCUCUGGCCUUACUUCUGAUCAAUGCUGUGCUUUGUUACAGGUUACACGAUUAUAUAUAGAUGUAAGACCUUUUUUUUUUGUUACAAGAGUGAAUAAAGACAGAAAGGACAAAGGAUAGAAACUAAAAGCAAAAGCAGCAAGUCUCCGCGAGGGAAGCAAGUUCCCAUCUCAUCCUCCCUGAUCGAGUCAUUAGGUAACUCAACGGAUUGAUGAAACAUUGAUGAUAAGUCUUAUCAAAUAAAAAUUAUUUUUAGAUAUUCUAUUAUAUGAAAAACUUAUAUGAUAAUUAUUUUGGUUAAAUAAUAAUUAUUUUUAAACAUUUCAUUAUUCACAUAAAAAAUUACAUUAUUUAUAAUCGUCACAUAUUUAUUAUUAUAAGUAUAUAAUUAUUCUAUCAAAUUGUGUCUUUCUUUGGAUUGAACACAAUUCACAUAAAUAAUUUCAUGCAAUAUUCAUGUAAAUUAAAUCAAAUUAACUUAGAGAUUAUUUUUUCUUCAAUCAAUUUGAUCCAAAAAUACAAAAUAAUUUAAUAUAAUAAAUAGGAAGUCUUAAAAUUACACAAUUUUCACAUAUAAUUUAAUUAUAUAAAAAUAUAUAUAACAGAACAUGCAAGUAUAUAUAACAAAACUUAGCACAACAUUAAUUCCUAGAAAAAUUAAUUUAUAAUUAUUACUAUCAACGCAAUGAUCCAAUAUUGACAAUAAUGGUCAAAUAAUAGUGUUUCUUUGGACCAACUAUUAUUCACACGUAAACAUCUUAUAAUUGUCACACAUUUAUCAUCUAGGUAUAAAAUAUUAUUUGGUCAAAUUGCAUCUUCCUUUGGGCCGAACACAAUUCGCAUAAAUAAUGUUAUACAAAAAUCUAUCUAAUUUUAAUCAAAUCAAUUUUCACAAUAGAGAUUACUUUAAAAAUAUAUCGUGUCAAUCAAUUUAAUUAAAAAAAUCAGUAGAUAUGCAAAUAAAUGGAAAAGGAUGUGUUAAUGCUAAAUUAACUCCAAUCAUGUAGCAAAAAAAUAUAAAACAUUAAUUACGGUAAGUAAAUAUCAUAUUCUUAAACUAUAUUUAAUGUUAUCAUUGAUUUAUACUUAAAAUAUCCCAAGUAAAUAUUGCAUUUUUUAUUUUUUUUGCUGAGAGCAUCCUUAGUUUUCUUUUUUUUAUUAUGAGAGGUCAAACUUAAAUGAACACUUUUAGAUAUGUCUCACUACAACUUAUCUUCCUCUUGCACACACUGAGAUAUAAGCUCAUUAAUGAAAGUGAGAUUACACACAAUGAGAUAUAAGUUCAUUAAUGGACUCAUUAGACAUUUUGUACUCUCUUAUAUAACUUUCCCUCUUCUUUACAAAAAUAAUAAUAAAUAAAUAACACAAAAAUUGCAUACGCAAAAAAAACUUCUUUAUAUAUCAUGAACAAUAAGACUUAUUUAUUGUGCGUUAACCUAAUAGGGUUCUCAUUUUCCUAUAAUGGAUCAACACUUACAUAUGUUCAUUUAAAUUCAUAUCAUCUUAUUUAUUUAGUUAGACUCACUUGAUUUGAUCACAUGAAAUAAAAUUCACUAAUCACAAAUAACUAAUAUAAUUAUCUUAUUAACCUAUAUUAAUUAUUGAAAUAAAAAAUUCCAAUAAGAGAAACGUGGGAAAAAGAAAGGGAGUAACUUGUAUUUUUCAAAUUAAAACAAAUUAAAGUAAAAUUGAAAUUAUUUAACAACCCUUCAAUUUAUGCUUAUGUAAAAUAAAAAAUGAACAUUUUUUUAGUGCAAGUGAAAAGAUGUUAAAGUGUUAAUAUACACCUUCUAAUUUUCUAUUUUUUAGUGGGUGUAUAUUAAUUAGCAUUCCCCAAAAAUAAAUACCUUAUAUACUCACUUAAAACUCAAUAUAAAUAAAAAAGUUAAUAAAUUGGAAAUAUUUAUUUUAUACUAAUAAAUUUAAUAUUUAUCUUACAAUAAACUUACAAUAUAAAUUAAAGAAAUAUCAUUUUAAAAUAAAAAAUAUUUUUCUCCAAGUUUUACAAGUUACAAACAAUAUUUCAUCUCUACUAAAAACAACAAUAAUUCAUACGAACUGCAUGUUACUAUAUUGCAAGUGCAACUGAGAGAAAAACUAAAGAAUAUAUGACAGCAAAAGUUUCAAUUUGAACGGAAGAGAUUUUUGUGAGAUUCACGUAAUAUUUUUUUUUUCUUUUCUCUUUUCACUCCCUUUCCUCCAAAGAGUAGAAACCGACGUUUUCCCCUCAACUCUCAAGUACAGGAACAGAUUUUAUCAAAUUUUGAACUAAGUAUUUAUAAUUUAACAUUUUUAAUUCAACUUUUAAGAAUUUAAAAUGUUGUAACUAUAAAUCCUUAAAAAACAUAUAAAGUUAUUGCACCUUUGUUACUAACUAAGUACUAUGGAAUUCACUAUUUUCACUCUUUAGUUUGGAAGAGACAGGUGAUGGGGAGAGAACACGUGGGUGUGUUUCAUGCUUUUGCUUAUAGCUACUGGUCAAUGCUUUUGUUUCAGGUUACAGCAUUAUCAAUUGAUGUUAGUCUAAACCCACCGGCCUGUUUCUUACAGCAGAGGGAGAUAAUGGAGUAGAUAAAAAUAAUGAAAUUGUCUGUUACAGCAGAUUCAUUACAGAAAUAAAUUUAAAAUUAUUGGGCUUGUUUCUAUUGCUUACUCUCGACUGAAGUAAAAGAACACACACAUAUAUAUAUAUAUAUAUAUAUAUAUAUAUAUAUAUAUAUAUAUAUAUAUAUAUAUAAAUUUAAUUAAUUUCACUUUUACUUAAUGACAUUAUUUUUAAAAUAUUUUUUUAUUUAAUUAUAAUUUUAUUUUAUUCAUGAUAUUAAAUUUGAAUAAAUGAUAUUUUUGACAUUAUUAUUAUUAAAUGAUUUUAAUUAACCUUUUUAAUUAGUAUAAAAAUAUUUAAUUUUACUUAUAUAUGAUUAUAAAGGAAUUAUUAUAUUUUUAUUUAUUUUUAUUCAUCUUUCUCUCUCUAUUUAUUUUUUCUUUAUUUUACUUCAAUCAAACAUUUAUUUCUCAUUUAUUUGUAUUUUUUAUUUUUUUUAUUUUUAUCUAUUCUAUUUCUCUCUUCUCUACCAAACAUAACAACAAAGCUACAAUUUUCAUAUUUAUUUAAAUAAUACAAUUUUCAUAGUUAAAUGAUAUAUAUUUCAGAAUAAAUAUUUUUAAGAAUAUGAAUUUUGUGAAAAAGAAGACAAAAAUGAAAGAAAAUAAAAUUUACUCAGCCAACAAUCUUUAAAAAUAUGUGUUAGUUUUAAAUAUUUAAUUAUAUUUUUAAAAAAUAUAAAAGCUGUAAAAAAAUAUUCAAAACACCAUAAUUGAAAACUUGAUAACAUUAUAAAAAUUUAUAGGUCAAUUUAAUUAUAAAAAAAAUAUUUGAUAAAGGGAAUGUGUCCUGAUUAAAUGUGAGAGACUAAGAAUAAGUGGAUAUUUUGAUUUUAGAAGUUUUCCAAUAUCUUCCAUUUCAAAAACAAAAAAAAAAAGUUUCCAAUAUCUUCAUUCUCAUGAAAAUGUUAAUACGCUUUUUAUUGAGAUAUAGCUAUGGGUAUUUUUUUUAUUCAAAGUAAUUUUAUUUGAGUAAAGUAAAAUUAUUAUAAGAUAAGUUUUAUUCCUUCUAAAUUUAAAUAUAAGUAUAAAAAAAAGGUCCAACUUUGAAAGACUAAAAUAUGAGUAAAUUUUAACUAUUUCAAUCCUAUUUAAGGUUACUAGUCCAAAAGUACCUUUAAGUUUAAAUUUCAGCAUAAUCUUCAAUAAAUACGAUUAAUUAGAGUAGAUUUAGAAAUGUAGUUUUUCUGUAAAAUUAAAAAAAUUAAAUAAACAUAAUUAAUUUCUUAAUCAAUGUGAAGUCAUGUAUUUUUUUUCUUAUAUUUGACUUCAAACUUCUUUAUCAGAGUAAAAUUUAUCUUUCAAAUAUUAAUAUUUAACAUAGUUGAAAUUAAGACUCAAAUUCAAAACUAUCAAUUAAAUUAAAAGGAUUUAAUAUGUCGUUAGUCAAAAUGAUAAUGAAUUUAAAUUCUUAGUCUAACAUAAAGUUCAGGAUCAUCAAUCAUUAAAUACUUUCUAAUAAUAAUAAAGUAAAAAAUAAAAAAUUAAGAGAAUCUUGUACCCAAGAGCAGAUGAUCAACGAUUAACUUUUGGGGCACUUCCUAUUCUUUUUUUCAUAUAUAUAUAAAAGUAAUUAUUUUUAUUUAGAGGUUUAAUUGUGUAAAUAAUGUCAAAGGUUGUUAUAAUGUACUUUUAAUGUUGUAAUCACUUUUUUGUUCACCAUAAUAUUGGUGUCAAGUAUUGAUAGCUUAAAUUACUUGUAUAAACCAAUGUUGGUUUUUAAAGGUUGUCAUUGUCAACACAACAUUUUUCUUCUUCUAUUUUCUAACUAUUUGAAAGGAAAUUAUUUUUCAGCAUUGUUGGUUAUUAUUGUUGUAAAAGAUAAUUUAGUGAAUAGCAUAAUCUUUAUAAUUUAUUAAGCAAUACAUUUUUUGAACAUAAUAUGAUUUUAAUUUUAUAAAAAUAUAUGCUUACCAGAUAUAUCAAUUUUUAUUAUAAAUUCAUUAGGAUUCAUGGUGGCGCGUGAAGUUAGUGAUUAAUUGUUAUUUAUAAUUUUGGGUCUUUAAAAAAAUAUUUAAUUUAUCUUCUUUGUAAAUAUAUUCUUUAUUUUAUAUGUUUAGAUUAUUUUAAAAAUAUGUAAUUAUAAAUACAUAGUAUAAAUUUUGAUGUUAAUUAAUAUAUUUAUUAAAUGAAUUUUAAUUUUCAUAUUUAUGCCUCAGUUGUUAAAUUCUGGGUCCACCCUGCUUGUACCAAUUGAUACACAUUCAAUGAUAACAUUUUUACGUACGCUUUAACAAUCAGUAAUUCUUUAUUAAACAAAAAAAAAUCAUUGAUUAUCCCAAAAGAAAAAAAAAAUCCGUAUGUUGAAAGAUUAAUGAAUAUCUGUUUACAGAAGUUUUUAACAAUAUCUUCAUUUUCUUGAAGACGGCAGUAUGCUUUAAUAAUUAGUGAUUAAUACAUUUACAUAUUAUUCUUACUUGAAAUAUAAAUACAACAAUUGUGAGUCCCGGAAUGCAAUUCACAUAAACUUAUUAUUAUAAAAAAAAUAUAACAAUUUUUCCAUUUUUCAAAUCAAAUAGAAGACGUGGUUAAAUAUUAAUUAGAAAUUUUAUAAUUAAAUGGAAUAUGUAGUUAAAUAUUAACCAUUAAUUACUAGAUCACUCCUUUCAUAAAAGAAAGUGAGUUGAUAGCAUAAAUGGGAGAAUAAAGUCAUGAAGCUUUAGAUGGAACAUAUUUGUUACUCAAUUUGUGUCUUUUCUUUUAACAAAAUUCUUAUUGAAUAUUUUUAAGUUUAUAUUUUUAUUUAGUAAAUAUGUGUUUAUUCUAAAAAUAAAGAUGAAUUGAGAGUAAAACAUAGAAUUUUGAUGAAUGAAAUGAUUAAAAAAUUGAGACAGUGGUCACUUAUUGAAAAUAUAAUUAUUAAAAAUUUAAAUUGAUUAAGUGCUAUAUAUAAAUUAGUCUUGAAUAAAAUUAUAAUUCUCCAUGUAAAUGAGUUGAACAAAAUUAUAAUCUCUAUAAAUAUAUUUUAAUGUCAAACUUACCAAAAUUUAAACUAAACGUUAAAUAAAUUUAAAUUUUAAACUUAAAUUAAUUUAUUUAAUUAAAAAAUAAGUUUAACUAAAAAUUUAAUAAAUUAAAUACAAAAAGUACACAAAUACCUUAAUAUCAACUCAAUCAUAAUAAUUACAAGUAUACUUUUUUUAUUCCUACAGGCUACAUGUAUAGCAACAUAUCUAAAUGCACAAAAAAUAAUACGUGGCCCCAUUGGUAGUUACUCACAUUUUUCACAUUUACAAGUGUGGUGGAAUCAGUAUCAAUGGUCGCCUCUGAUUUGGAUUUUUGUUACCUAAUUUAGCAGUACCAUAUAAUUUCGCGAGCAAAAGUAAAUUUUGAUGUACAAAUCAAUAAAGGAAAGUUGCAAGUGUGAUCCAAUAAUUAUCAAUAUUGUCCACGUCGAAAGUGUUAUCCAAUACAUAUCAAUAAUGGCAACUUUAAUUUAAAGUUGUGAUCCGAUAAAUAUAGUCCUGUAUUUGUAUGUGUUUUUUUAUCAACAAAAAUUAAUUUAUUAGUUUGAUUAGAAAUACAAAAAUUAAUUUAUUAGUUUAUUAGAAAUAUCAGGGAAAGAAAUUCGAAGAAAUAACUUCUUUUUUCCCUCUUCUUCCUUUAUCAUAAGUUCACUUUUCAGUCACUAGUUCAAUCUUACAUCUCUCCCUAAACUUCAUGAAAUAUGGUAACAGAUGUUGUAGUUUUUUUUAUCCGUACGAAGAUACUUAAUUUCAACAAAGACCAGUGUGGUAAUAAUAAAGUUAAUUGGCAAGAAAUUUCAUUCAUGAUAGAUUAGAGGUGGGGGACAGUGAGUACAAUUAGAUGGUCUCGUAAGUGAAGCUUAAUUAAUUGAAGAGAGCCUUAAUUUAUGUUCCCAAAAGGAAGAAGAGUUCAAAUGAUAAUAGAAGUUGUUUAAUGUCCUCCAUCUGUAUCCUCAAUCAGGUAUAUAGAUGGAAACAUCAUUAAUCUUUACUCUUACCCUACUAGCAAAUACAUGGAUAUUUGCUUAUGCUUUGCCUAGAAGUCUAGCUAGUCAUACAAUUUUAAGAACCAAACCAAACUGAAUAUGGUGUGUUGAAUAUUAUUAUAUAUGCUGAACCAAAGAAACCCUCAACCACCUGAAGACACUAUUCCAAAUUAAACAUGAAAUGAAAAAUAAAUAAAUAUCCAGGAAUAGAUGAGAAAAUGUGUGCCUUGGCAGUGCACUAGUGAAUUAGCAUAACUUGAGUUGUCAUUUUUUGAGAUUUUUUAAGGUAUACUUUGAUUUUUUAUGAUUAUUUUAAGUAUAAAAGUUUGCAGGUUAUGAAUUCUUUAUAUUUUUUUUAAUAUAAGGCAGGUAAUGUACAUCAAUAAUAACUUAUUGGAUCAACCUCUAUUUACCUGAUAACAUUAAUUUGGAGUGUCUAAUUAUAUUUAUCAAAAAUCUAUACCCUUUUCUUUUUUUUUCAGCAAAACAAAAUACUUUAUAAAUAUAUGAUGGGCAUAAGAAAUACCGUACAGUAACCUGUGAUGGUUAAUUAGUUAAUAUUUAUGAUAUGAACCAGAAAUAUUUAAUAACCAUCAAUACCUCCCAGUAAACUACACACCCACAACCAAUCAAGAAAGCAAACUCCCCUUUUCUUAUUUAAACCUGAGCUAUAAAAAAAUGAAUUGGAAAAAAUACGGGUAUAAAUAUUGAGGCAUUGGCAUAACAUACCAAUCUAACUAAAAGUAUGAUACCACGACCUAGCCAGAGGCAAAACUGCAGUGAACAUACAAGUGUAUGUAUAGUUGUAGAAUCAUCAAGAGAAGUGAACAUAUUCACUAACAUGGGUGGCAAAGCAUUUCUUCGAACCAAAUUAUCUUUCGUUGGUUAACUAAUAGUUAAACUAUUCUUUUCAAUUAAUAUAUAUUAAUUAAAAGGAGAUUAGGGGUUAUAUUGCAUUAUAAACAAAUGUAACAAUAAAACAAACAAUUUAACAAACAUUUAUUAUAACAAUAACAUAGUAUCCCUCAAAGAUGAAAGGGAUCUAUUAAGUUCCAAGGCAAAUAACUACACCUACAGCACACUAAUUUUUAUAUUAUUAUGUGUGACUAUUGUUAAUAUGUUGCUCAACGGAAAUCAGAAGUAUCUCCAAUAUUCCACACACCAAGAAAAAAUGGUUUUUAGAGCCAGAAGAUUUCUAAUUUUACAAAGUGAGUCCUUAAUCAGUUAGUGACCAAAUAUGAGACCAAUUUUAGCAAGUAGCUAAAGUUUUAGUCGCUGAUUGUUGAUUCCAAUUUAGACACUGAUUUAAAAACCGAUUAGAUGACUGGUUUUUUUAGAUUUUUUUUUGUUAUCACAUGUGUACAUAACCUAAGCCUUCACCAAAUAGCUUAAGUUUUCUUUGGAGUUUGAAAUUUCCAAUCUAGAUCUCCAUUAAAACGUGAAAUAAAACCCUCAAAUCUAGAUCAAUAUUUAAAUAGCAUGCCAAACCCAUAUGUGUAGUGUUAGGCAAAAAAAAUCAAAUUGUGCCAAAAUUAAUAAUGAGACAAUUCAAACCCUUUAGUCCUUGGAAACUCACAUUACUUUAGAACCUUUAGGUGGAGAUAGAUAACUUAAAUUUUUCACGACUCACAAUUAAAAUACCUACUAAUACAAAUGUCAUGAGUAGGGAUGCUAAGAAUAUGCAUACUUGCAAGUAUUUGUUCUCAUCUUGAAGAAAAAUACACAUUUUGGUCGAAUAUCAAUAUGAAUAUUACUCGUCAUUGGUGUAGGUAACUAUAAAGAUGAAAGUUGUGAUGAUAAAAGUGAUAAUAAUUGUAAUAGUUAGGGAUGAAUCUUUAUUCGGACAUAUGGGGACAUGGUCAUCUAACCAAUGGCCCAAUAUAUUAAAUAAUUUUAAUAGUACAUUUUUUCACCUCAUUUUCUCUCUCAAACUUACUAUAAAAGACAAUAAUAUCUCAGAAGAGAAAUACGCAAAUGAUUAACCAUGGCUUCUUCUACAUCACAUCCAUCCUUUUGGUCCCUCCUGAACCUGUCUGCAUCCAUUCCCAUUUCUUCUUCCGUAUGCAUGUUCCCACCGUCUAAAAAACCUAGCAAAGCAACAAAACGGCGUCAUGCUUGGGAAGUAGCAUGCAAUGGUAACCCUAGAAAUAGGAGGGACAUUCUGAUCGGCCUUGGAGGACUCUAUGGUGCUACAACAAGUCUCACAAGUAACAACACUGGUUCUGCAUUUGGUGCUUCAUUGUCGCCUCCAGAUCCAACUAACUGCGUUCAACCGGACCCAGAAAAAGACCCUUUUUGCCCACCACCCCCCUUCAAAGACUACGAGCUCCCUCCACACGAUGACAAGACAUUACCCCUUCGAAUUAGACCAGCUGCUCAUUUGGUCACUGAUGAUUACAUAGCCAAGUACGAGGAAGCCGUGAGGCGCAUGCAAGACCUUCCACCUGAUGAUCCUCG